UUUUUUUAAGUAUUAUCCGAUGAAAACUACAUAUUUUGAUUUUUCCGAUGAUUCUUUAUGUGUUAAUUAUGCUCGAUUUAAGUAGAUUUCAUGCUAGUUCGUUGAUCUACAUAGGUUUAUAUUCAUAAAUACAUGUGUUGUAUGAAUAUAAAGAACCGAAUUUGAUGUACAUGGACACUUGCGCUAUCGAGGCAGUCAAGGCUAAGGCUGCGAAAUUCAAGAGCCUUCAAUAAAGGAACACGGGGAAGCAUCGCCUUGGAAGUCGUGGCUACCUUGGCAAAAGGCCCAUAUGGGAUAAGGAGGAUGUAGAACGUGAAGCCGCGGAUCUUCUAGACCCCUUCGCGAAGUUCACCAACCCCUUGGAGCGUGACUUCAUCAGGGUUUAGGGUAAUUAUUCUUUUACCACCUUACAUUUAGCUCCUGAUCAAGUCGACUACACAUUCAAAAAUGGUUCACAUUCCUUCUACAGGAGAAGCAACACUAGCUUGCAGCCGAAAGCCCUACUUCGCCGAUGAGUCCAAAGUGGGACAGACCCUCUCAACUGGGCCUUGAAUGAACUUAAGGGACUCCCUUUGGGCUAGCGGCCGUAAUAUGGACGUGUGCACGGCGCCGGAGACGGCGCCACAUGGAAGGUGUUUUAGAACGAGGGCCUGGAGGCCAAGAAGUAGAAAACAAAGUUUAGUCAGGCGGACAUUGACGAGAAGGUGAAGCUUGCGGUCGAGAAAAAAACAGUUGAGGACGUGCAAAAAGCAGCCGAGGAGAAACAUGAUUUGCUACAACAGGCAGUAGAUGCAACUGUAAAUGCCUGCAGAAAAGAUUUUGCUACUAACUUGGUCCUGGCUAUCAUCAACUGGACGAAGGAAAAUCCAAACAAGACAAUACAUGAUUUCCCCAUGCCCAGUUUUGUCGGGAGCAACUCGGUGAACAACACCACCGCACCAUCACCUGCUCACGCAACUGAGCCUGCUCUCGCACCCGCACCCGCACCCGCUCAUAGCAGCCCGUCAUCAAUCUCUGGCUCGCUAGACAGGCUUUCCUCUUUGGCUGAGCUCGACGCCCUCACGGUAAUUACAUGUCGCACCAACAUAUAUAUCUAGAAUAUUCCAUUUUCGUUGCCUUUCGGAUGUUUUACGCCGCAGACAUGUGUUUGCAGGCCGACGAAACCCCGUGCACCAUACUCUACUUGAUCAAAUGCCAGAAGGUGAAUGUGGGAAAGGGGGUGAUAACGAAGCCCUUGCAACUCAUGUUCCACAACCAGCCGAUACCCGCUGGGCACUUCAGGGUUAACUUGUCCAGUGUGAAAUCAGGGCAUGAGGAUUUUCCUCCUCCGUUACAGCUAGGGGGAGAGGACGAUGAGACCCCUCUGCGGAUUGGAAGUUGCAAGGGUCGGGUGCUGCUAUGGCCGAAGAAUCUUCUUCCUCUAGAGCCGGCCGAGAGCACAUCAAUAACCACACAUCAACAAGCAUGUAUGGAGACCACUACCCCGCCUACGCAAUUACCAGCUCCUGUAGUGCCGGGUGAGAGCGGCGGACGACGUGAUGCAGGGGGUCCAAUAGUGGCUGAUGUAAUCGGCCCCGUAGAACAAAGAAUGUAUGAUGAGAUGGAGGAGACGGAGGACCCAAUGGUCGGGUUUCCUCAAUACAUGCGCCUAUGACAGUGACUUGGAUAUGAGUCCGUCAUAUGACAAAUCCGGCUAUCAGCAUGCUGAUGAGGAUAUGGAUGAUCCGCCCGGGCAGGAACAUCCUAGCAGGGAUUGCAAGAAGUCUCUCUUCAUGAAAUCCUUAUAGGACACGCCUGAAUAUGCUGCCUCAACACAAGCUCAACUAGACGGGGGUCGUACAGUGCUUAGCCCAGCAACACUGGGGCAGGGGUUAAGGAAGGGUCUGGAAGGUGUGCCCAAGAAAAAGGAGAGGAAGAGACCGGGGAAGAUAGGCUCAGCUGCCUGCAAACAAGCCAGAGCACAUAGCAGCCAGACGGUGGAUUCUGAAGAGCGUGUACUCGUCAAAAGUGCGGCCAUGUUCCAUGUCACGGGCAAGCUGAUUCUACCGCCAAACCCACUGGAGGCACUAUCAGGGGAUCUCAUGAGACUGCACGACCAUGUGUUGUCGACUGAGAAAAGCGUACUACCCUUGAAGGAUCCAGGAUAUCCGAAAUACGCAGCUCGUGUGCCUGAGGGGAAGUGCUACGUCGACACACGGCCCGCGGAGGUGUUCUUCCUGCGGUUUGGCCAUAUCUUCGAGAUGUUUCUCACAAGGCGGCUCAAUUUUACAAUCGUCCCCCUUUUUGCACUACAUAUGAGCACUGUCAUGAAGAGAGAAGAAGUCUCACAAAUCUGUUUGGUGGAUCCGUACUACAUGCACGAGUCCUUCUUGAGUCUCGGCGACUUUGAGCGUGAAACUGCUAGGGAGUACCUCCAAAACCUCAUGGUAAAGAAUAAGGACCAGGAAAUUGUCCUCCUGCCUUAUCAUCCAAAGUAAGUCAGUUCCGGACAACCCUUUCGUACAUUUCAAUCAUUCCUUCUCGCUCGUAUGGAGAAUAAUUUGAGGUGUCUUUUUCCCCGCAGCAACAGGCGCGUCGUCCUUAUCGUUCUUUACCCGCGAGUCUCCCACGCCGUGUAUUUGGACCCUACAAGAAACUACGAGAAGAAGGACUACACCCACAUAAUGCAUAUUCUAGAUGAUGCUCUCCAAGGCUUCAACAUUAGGGGUGGCCACCUAUAGAUCAGGAAACAGAGGAACAAGAAGACGGGUUUUGCGCAUAACUUCUGCUGCAUCCAUGUCCCCAAACCAAGCAAGAAAGAUGGAUUCUACAUCCUCCAUCUCAUGAUUGAGUUCAGCGCGGAUCACCAAAAGCUUCGCAUCACAAACAGAAACGAUGAUCAUAUCCGCAAGUGGGUAGAAUCUCAUGGAGAACCGGAUUGUAAACUUAGAGAUGACUGGUUUCGCAUCCAAAGGGACAUUGUGACGAUCAUCAUGAAAGAAGUCGUCGAUGAGAAGGGGAUGUUCCACCAUGGCCCUAUAUCACGAGCUGACGUCUGAACUCGCAUAGGCAUGCAACGUCAUGACCUCAUGCUGUUCAAUAAGCUAGGGUCCAUCCUCGAUGAUAUGGAAGGAUGGAACUUCUAGUGAUUUAUGAUGACGAUGUUGAUGAUAUGUGUCGUUUGAACUUGUAUAUUUUCUGUAGCGAUCAAACUUUGUGAUGUCCACGGUCCCUGCUAAACUUGCCUAAUGCUACUUUGUUAGUUUGGGUACGAUGACCUGCGUACCUCUAGUUAAUUAGUUUGCAUACUAUAUGUUGCAUCUAGUUGCUAACCCUUUCUUUUUCAUGUUGCUCUAGUAUAUUUUGUUGCAUAUGAUUGUACAUUCUCUUGAUGAAGAUGCAUCUCUAAUAGGUACCUAACUUCUUGAUGGCGAAGAAGCAGUGCUAUGUCGUGUACAAAGGAAAGGUUUCGGGGGUGUACGCCGAGUGGCCUGAGUGUCAGGCGCAAGUGAAUGGGGUCUCGGGCGCCAGCCAUAAAGGCCUCAAAAGCAGACAAGAAGCAUAAGCUAGUUACUUGAGGUUCACGCUAGCGCGAGAGAGGUCUCGUAACCGCCGCCUCAUGUACUUCAUAGUUUAGCUCCCACUCAUAGUGAUAGCUCUUCUCGUGUAUAUCAUUGUUUAGAUGGAUGACGAUGUAGUUGCAAGUAUUCGAGACUUGUAUCGCUAUUUUUGAAAUGAUGACGAGAGACCACUUUAUGUUGGAUGAUGAUUAUGAUGAUGACCACCUUGUAUCGCUAUGUAUAUGCUAUCAUUAAAUUUGUAUGUGUAUGAUAUGCUAGAGAUUAGUGUAGAAAGGCCAAAACAAAAUUCAGCAGCACAAAAUGUGGAGGAGAAAAAAAUUUCAAAAACUAAUAGCAGUAUCGCGGGGUAUGGCAUUAGCAGCAGCGAGCUCUUAGCAGUAGCGCUCUUUGCACAAGGGCGCUACAGCUAUUAUCAGCAGCACGUGUUUCAGACAAAUGUUCCUGCUAUCCCAACUUAGCAGUAGCACUGCUCAGGACGCGCUACUGAUAAGCAUUAGCUGUAGCACCGUAUCAGUAGCGUGGCCACCCGCGCUACUAAUCAGCAUAUAACCCGUGAUACUACUAGGCUUUUCCCUAGUAGUGAUAAUCUAUGCCAUACUGUUGUUUAAAACCGUUUGCAACAACCCUAACUUUGUAGCGAUCAAUAGUUCUAUCAGAUUUCCUUUUGAUCCUGAAUACCCACUUGCAAUCAAUUAAAUUUUUACCUUGCUGUGGAGGAACAAAGUGCCAAGUUUUAUUUUUCUUAAGUGCCAUGUAUUCUUCCUUCAUGGCAUUAUUCCACUUUUCAUCACGAAGUGCUUCCUCAAGUGUAUGUGGUUCACCUGGUUCACCUGAAGAACAAACCAUACCAUAUUUGGUUAUGUGUUUAUAAUUAACAUGAUGUAUUACCCCAUGUUGUAGUCUUGUACGUCGUGACGAUGCAGUAGCCGGAUCAACAGCCACAGAUGAUCCUGGAACAGGAGCUCCUGCUGCAGAAUCUACUACCGGUGGAUCUUCUAUGGCAAUUGUUCAGGUGCAGCGUCUCCAGUUUGCGCAGAAGAUCCCGGGCCUCAUCAUUGGCUGAUGAUGGCGUAUCCACCUCGAGCCGUACGAUGGUCGGGCGCGCUGGAGACCACGCCAGAUCCCCUGGGCCCUGCGCCAGUUGGGCGAACCGGGUUACGCUGCUUGUAAACGACCAGCUGGUCAUGGAACCGCACUCCAUCCGGGCGAGCAGCAUGCUACCGCGUGCCGAGCGAGGAUUGGCACGGGGAAGAACUUAGGCCACAACCUCUAGAGGAGAGCCGCGUGUCGGGUGUUGGGCUGGAGACAAUGACGUGAUCGGCGGGCGCUGUCGCUAGUGCAUCUGCCGCGCCUGCCAUCACGGAUCCCGAGGAGGAUCGACUGGGCUCGUGCUGCAGAAUUCAUCCCGAGGAGGAUUUGCCUCCCAGAUGGGGGCGCAUGAACCAUGAGUUUCAUUGUGUGGAGAAGUCUUUCUACUGGAGUUUCAUUGUGGAUGAGUCGACUAGGAAGCAUAUUGAUGAUAUGAACAGCGGUGAGAACAGCCUCAUCCCAAAACUUGAGAGGCAUGGACGAUCCUGCCAAGAGGGCUAGCCCAACUUCAACUAUGUGUCUGUGCUUACGUUCAGCAGAGCCAUACUGUUGAUGAGCAUGAGGACACGGAACAUGGUGUGAUAUCCAAGUGAUUGGAAGAAGGAGUUUAAUUUUUCAUACCCCCCCCUAGUCCGAUUAUACUGCAAUGAUUUUGCUAGAAAAUUUUCGCUCAAACAAGGCUUGAAAAUUUUGAAAAACUUGAAAGACAUCGGAUCUAUUUUUUAGAAGGUAAAUCCACACAAAUUUGCUAUAGUCAUCUAUGAAGCUCACAUGAUAAUCAUGUCUACCAACGGAUGUAGGGGCAGGACCCCACACAUCAGAGAAAAUUAAUUGAAGUGGUUUGGUAGAGACACUAGUAGAUAUUGGAUAAGGUAAUUGAUGACUUUUAGCACACUGACAGGAAUAACAAAUAGUUUCGACAUUGCGCUCACCAAUAAAUGGGAGCUUAUUUUUCCUAAGCAAUCUUUCAACUAGAGAAAAAGCAGCAUGUCCUAAUCAAUCGUGCCACCGUGUUGACGAGACUUUGACAACACCAUUGGCUUGUUUAUUGGAUAUCCUAAGCUCUGGAAUCAACGGGUAAAGCCCUCGACCACAUCUACCUCGAUAGAGUACCUUCUUUGUUGGUUGGUCCUUGAUCAAGAAGAAGUAGGGAUGAAAUUCAAGGAAAACAUGAUUAUCAAUGGCAAUUCUAAGAAUGGAGAGAAGAUUUUUAGCAGCACAGGAACAUGCAAGAUUCUCUUAAGAUGAAUUUUAUGAUGAGGGGUAAGAAAAGUUGAAUGACCAAUGUGACAAAUCUGCAUACCUUCUCCACUUGCCGUAUGGAUAUGUUCUUUGCCAUGAUACUUUUCCUUCAUUGUGACUUUCUCAAGUUCAUUGGAGAUGUGAUUAGUGGCACCACUAUCAACAUACCAAUUUGUAUCGACUCCGUAGGAGCCAUCAGCCACGGCAUCUACCUUUUCAUCAUCUUGAGAGUCGUCGUCGUCUUCGUCAAACCGGUACCAGCAAUCGUUCGCGGUGUGCCCUGGCUCACCACAAAUCUGGCAGCGGGGCAUCUCUGGUCGGGACUAGUGGGGCCACCACCACGGCAACCUUUGGAUGCGCCAGAGCGGCCAUUGGAGCUGCCGCCGCCGUUGUUGCCGCCACCACCAUGUCCUCCAGACCUCCCCUCACUACUAGGGAAAACCUUAUACACGGAAUCCUAGCAGCAACGCGGCACAAAAUGAAGCACCGCUGCUAAUUAGCAGUAGCUCGGGCAACAUACACUCGCUACGGAUACAAAUUUAGCAGUAGAGCGUGCUGGCUAAACCGCACUGCUACAAAAAUCGACCGACAAUACACACCAAACUAAGUUUAGCAGCAGCGUUGUGUCAAGACACGCGCUACUGCUAAUGCAAUAGUAGUAGCACGCGUUUUACUCCUAUCGCUGCUGCUACUUUUGAAAUUGGUCACAUGGUUGGCCCCGCUUAGCAGUAGCGCGUGUGUGAAAAGUGUGCUGCUGCUAUGCUCUUACCAGUAGCGCGGUUUCCCACCCGCGCUACUGCUAAGACGCAGCACACCGCCACCUUUUCCCCCGUCCUCCCCUUCCCCAUCUCCUCUCUUCCCUUUCCCCUACCUCCCACAUCCUCUCUCUCUCUCUUCUUCUUCUUCCUCAAUACUUUCCCCCCAUUACUCUCCCUCUUCUACCUACCUUUCUCUCUCUUCAUUACUCCUAGCUAACUACACCACCUCCAUUAAUGCAUCUCCUUUCUCUCUGUUCAUUACUCCUAGCUAACUACACCACCUCCAUUAAUGCAUCUCCUUUCUCUUUUUCCUUCCCCCUCCACUAGUUGAAGUUGUCUCCUCCAAAAUUAGCUAGCUAGGUAGAUGUAGCAUUUAGUUAAGUGACCUAUUUGCCCCCUAACUAGAUCUAUCUUUUUCAAGAAGAGCUUUGUGCACUUUUGAUCUCCCUACAUCACCAUAUCCACCGUGUGCUCGAUCUCGAGAUAAAGGUGAUUAAAAUUUCAUGCUUUUGCAAAAUGGAAAUAUAUAUGUGUAUGUGUUUGUGAUAUGAUAAUUCGGCGAUAUGAUGGAAAUUGUGUGUGUGUGUGGCAUGAGUUGAUGACGCCAAAUUGUGCUUUUGAGUUUCCUAUGUUUUGCCGAAAUGUCGAUUCAUUUCCGUUUCGGUGAAUUCCGGGCAAACUCUAGAUCUAUAUGUCCUAUUUUUAGGGAAGGUCAUGCCGAAUUUUUGUAUGACUUUGAUGCAUGCACGCAUUUUUAUAAUCAAUUUGUUUAUUAUUACCGUGCAGACGUUCAUGAUGGUCAAUGGAAUGAUGGUGUACAGGUGGUUGCGGCCGGCAGUGCAGGACAGGAAAGAAAAUAACCUGAUAGAGGUUUUAUGUCGGUGUCGAAAAUGCAAAGGAAUAGUUUGGCUCGACCCCUAUGACGAUGGUCGUGUCAAAGCGCACCUGCUCAUGACUGGUUUCAUGGAUGGCUAUACCCGGUGGAUAAUUUAAGAUGAGGAUGACGAUGUUGAGGAUGCCGACGGGGCAGGAAAUGACGACAUGGGGCAAGACGAAGAGAUGAUCGAUAAUGGCGGUGAGGAAGAGGCCGAACAUGGCGGCGGAGAAGGGGCCGGACAUGGCGGAGGAUAAGGGGCUAGACAUGGCAGAGGAGAAGGGGAUGGACAUGGUGGCAGAGAGAAUGUGCACUCCACGCAGCAAAGUUCAUCAGUACUAAGUUCAAUCGUGCGGGACCCUCAUGUUCAAGCACUGCCCACACUCUCUCUUGCCCCGUCGCGCCGCCAGAGCCUUGCCCUCGCCGCACCCCUGCGCUCGCCCCCGACUCCGACCCCGACCCCAGCUCCGGCCCCGGCGCUCGACCCCGACUCCGACCCCAACCCCGACCCCUCCCAACCUCGGCUGUCGUCGCGCCUGCACCGUCUAUAAGCCCCCCAUCGCUCCUCCUAUCUCUGGUAGGUAGGGUUCUUUGGUUAAUUUACUUAGGUUUUAGUUAGGGCAGAUGGUUAAUUAGGUUAUAUAUUUAGUUAUGAAUUUAGCUAGGUUUUUCUUCAAGUUCUAUAUUUUUCUUCCUUUUAUAUGCAAAUUUGAAGUGGACAUGUGAUAUGUGGUCAUGUGAUGUUUUGGACAUGUCAUAUUUGGAAUUUGGACAUGUCAUUUGGACAUGAUGAUUAUGUGCAUGGUAAAUGAUCCGAGGGGCCUAUGUUACACCGGAAUGUUGAUUCAUUUCCGUUCCGGUGAAUUUCAGGCGCUCGAUAUGUCCAUUUUUUAGCGAAGGUCAUGUCGAAAUUUUCGGUGAAUUUUGGCAGAUUUGUGCUAGAUAGUAGGCAUAUGAGUGUCGUGAGUUGCUGGGAAAUGACAUUCCGGCAAACAUAGAUUUCUUUUUUAUGUCAUUUCUCAUUUUUUUCAUAGUUUUAGAAUUAAACGAGGAGACUUAAUCAUAGGAAACAUGGCGAACAACGAAGAAACUGGGCCUUCUGACGAAGAUACAGACGAGAUGAAUUAUGAGGGUGAACAAGAGUACCUCGACUAUUUGACUGCUAAGCAAAGUCAAGGUUUGCAGGUCGGCCUCAAUGACGGUACUGACGCCGACAUCGACACCGACGGCACCGGCACCGAUGGAGGCGCCGAGACCGAUGGCGGGGAAGAUACCGGUGGUGAAGGUACUGGCGCCAAUGCCGCUGCUGAAAAGAAGCAGCAGAAGAAGCAGAGGAUACGAAAACCUAACAUACUAGGGGUUGGACGACUGGUGAUCACAAAGAUGGCACCUAGCAAGUUUGAGCCAUUAGAGCCAGAAGAACCUCGCAAGUGCUAUGGGAACUAAGUAGGAUGCAUCCUACGGGAAUGCGUGAGCAUCAACGACAAUGACUUAAGGAGUAAAGAACAUUUGACGCAGUUGCUCCUGACGAUGUUGCACAAGAGAUUCAAGUUCCCCGACCGGGAUGAUAACAUAGAACAACCGUGGGAUGAUCCGAAGAUGAAAAAGAUUAACAAUCACGCCAUGGGCAUGUUCAGCAAUGAUUUGGCCUCCUGGAAAGGGAGGGUGAAAUGAGCUAUUGAGACUGAGGAACCCCUGUCCAAGAUUCUGGAGGAAAAUCCGACACUUACAGAAGAGGAGUUCGAAAAGUUCAAGGACACUUGCGCUACCGAGGCAGCCAAGGAUAAGGCUGCGAAAUUCAAGAGCCUUUAGCAAAGGAACACGGGGAAGCUUCGCCACGGAAGCCAUGGCUACCUCGGUAAAAGGCCCAUAUGGGAUAAGGAGGACGCGGAACGUGAAGCCGCGGGUAUCCCAGACCCCUUCGCGAAGUUCACCAACCGCUUGGAGCAUGACUUCAUCAGGGCCCUCUACAAGUGGGACAAGGAAAAGAAGGUUUUUUACAUGGACCAGAUCACGAGGAGAUUGAUUAGACUACUGGUAAUUAUUCUUUUACCACCUUACAUUUAGCUCGAGAUCUAGUCGACUACACAUUUCUUAAUGGUUCACGUUCCUUCUGCAGGAGAAGCAACACCAGCUUGCAGGCGAAAGCUCUACUUCUCCGAUGAGGCCCAAGUGGGACACCCCUCUAAACCGGGCGUUGAACGAACUUAAAGGACUCCCUUUGGGCCAGCGGCCGCAAUAUGGUCGUGUGCACGGCACUGGAGACGGCGCCACGUGGAAGGUGUUUUACAACGAGGGCCCGGAGACCAAGAAGCAGAAAAAUAAGUUUAGUCAGGCGGACAUCGACGAGAAGGUGAAGCUUGCAGUCGAGAAAAAAGCAUCUGAGGACGCAAGAAAAACAGCCGAGGAUAAAAAUGAGUUGCUACAGCAGGCAGUCAAUGCAGCUGUAACUGCCUGCAGAUAUAAUUUUGCUACUAACUUGGUUCCAGCUAUCAACAACUGGAAGAAGGAAAAUCCAGAAAAGACGGUACAUGAUUUCCCGUUGCCCAGUUUCGUCGCGAGCAACUCUAUGAACAACAACAACACCGCACCAUCACUUGCUCACGCAACCGGGCCUCCUCUCGCACUCGCUCCCGCUCAUAGCAGCCCGUCCUCAGUCUCUUGCGUGCUAGGUGGGCCUUCGUCUUUAGCGACGCCCUCAUGNNNNNNNNNNNNNNNNNNNNNNNNNNNNNNNNNNNNNNNNNNNNNNNNNNNNNNNNNNNNNNNNNNNNNNNNNNNNNNNNNNNNNNNNNNNNNNNNNNNNNNNNNNNNNNNNNNNNNNNNNNNNNNNNNNNNNNNNNNNNNNNNNNNNNNNNNNNNNNNNNNNNNNNNNNNNNNNNNNNNNNNNNNNNNNNNNNNNNNNNNNNNNNNNNNNNNNNNNNNNNNNNNNNNNNNNNNNNNNNNNNNNNNNNNNNNNNNNNNNNNNNNNNNNNNNNNNNNNNNNNNNNNNNNNNNNNNNNNNNNNNNNNNNNNNNNNNNNNNNNNNNNNNNNNNNNNNNNNNNNNNNNNNNNNNNNNNNNNNNNNNNNNNNNNNNNNNNNNNNNNNNNNNNNNNNNNNNNNNNNNNNNNNNNNNNNNNNNNNNNAACCCCGUGCACCAUACUCUACUAGAUCAAAGGCCAGAAGGUGGACGUGGGAAAGGGGGUGAUAAUGAACCCCUUGCAACUCACGUUCCACAACCAGCCGAUCCCCACUGGGCACUUCAGGGUUAACUUGUCCAGUGUGAAAUUGGGGCACGAGGAUUUGCCUCCUCUACUACGGCAUGUGGGACAAGACGACGAGACCCCGCCGUGGAUUGAAGCUGCAAGGGUUAAGUGUUGGUAUGGCCGAAUAAUCUUUUUCGUCUGGAGCCGGCCGAGAGCACACCUAUAACCACACAUCAACAAGCAUGUGCGGAGACCACCACCCCGCCUAUGCAAUUACCAGCUCUUGUAGUGCCGGGUGAGAGCGGUGGACGACGUGAUAAAGGGGGUGCAAUAGUACUGGCUGAUGUAAUCGAUCAUGUAGAACAGAGAAUGGAUGAUGAGACGGAGGUCGACCCAAUGGCUUUCCUCAAUACAAACGCGUAUGAGUGUGACCUAGAUAUGAUGAGUCAAACAUAUGACGAAUCGGGCUAUCAACAUGCUAAUGAGCAUAUGGAUGAUCUGCCUGGGCAGGAAGGUCGUAGCAGGGAUUGCAAGAAGUCUCUCUUCAUGAAAUCCUCAUAGGACAUGCCUGAAGAUGCCGCCUCAACAAAGGCUCAACUAGCCGGGGUUGUAUAGUGCUUAGCCCGGCAACACUGGGGCAGGGGUUAAGGAAGGGUCUGGAAGGUGUGCCCAAGAAAAAGGAGAGGAAGAGACCGGGGAGGAUAGCUGCCUCCAAACAAGACAAAGCACAUAGCAGCCAGACGAUGGAUUCUGAAGAGCGUGCACCCGUGGAAGGUGCGGCCAAGUUCCAUCUCACGGGCGAGCCCAUGCUACCGCCAAAACUACUGGAGGCACUAUCAGGGGAUCUCAGGAGACUGCACGACAAUGUGUUGUGAACUGAGAAAAGCCUACUAGCCUCGAAGGAUCCAGGAUAUCCGACAUACAUGGCUCGUGUGCCUGAGGGGAAAUGCUAAAUUGACACACGGCCCGCGGAGGUGUUCUUCCUGCGGUUUGACCAUGUCUUUGAGAUGUUUUUGACAAGGCGGCUCGAUUUUACAAUCGUCCGCCUUUUUGCGCUACAGAUGAGCUCUAUCAUGAAGAGGGAAGAAGUCUCGCAAAUCUGUGUGGCGGAUCCGUACUACAUGCACGAGUCUUUCUUGAGUCUCGGCGACUUUGAGCGCGAAACUUCUAGGGAGUACCUCCAAAACUUCAUGGUACAGAAUAAGGACCAGGAAAUUGUCCUCCUGCCUUAUCAUCCAAAGUAAGUCAGUUCCGGACAACUCUUUCAUACAUUUCAAUCAUUCCUUCUCCCUCAUAUGGAGAAUAAUUUGAGGUGUCUUUUCCCCGCAGCAACGGGAGUGCCAUCCUUAUCGUUCUUUACGCGCGAGUCUCCCACGCCGUGUAUUUCGAUCCUUCCAGAGACUACGAGAAGAAGGACUACACCCACAUAAUGAAUAUUCUAGAUGAUGCUCUCCAAGGCUUUAGCAUUAGAGGUGGCCACGUGCAGAUUGGGAAACAAAGGAACAAGAAGAUGGAUUUCAUGCAUAAAACUAACUUCUGUUGCAUGCAUGUCCCAAAACCAAGCAAGAAAGAUGGAUCCUACAUCCUCCAAAAGCUUCGCAUCACAAACAGAUAUGAUGAUCAUAUCCACAAGUGGGUAGAAUCUCAUGGAGAAGCGGAUUAUAAACUUAGAGAUGACUUCUUUCGCAUCCAAAGGGACAUUGCGACAAUCAUCAUGAAAGAAGUCAUCGAUGAGAAGGGGAUGUUCCACCACGGCCCUAUAUCGCAAGCUGGCGUCCGAACUCGCAUAGUCAUGUAACGUCAUGACCUCACGCCGUUCAAGAAGCUAGGGUCUAUCCUCGAUGAUAUGGAAGGAUGGAACUUCUAGUGAUUUACGAUGCCAAUGAUGAUGAUAUGUGUCGGUUGAACUUGUAUACUUUCUGUAGCGAUGAAACUUUGUGAUGUCCACGGUCCCUGCCGAACUUGCGUAAUGCUACUUUCUUAGUUUGGGUACGAUGACCUGCGUACCUCUAGUUAAUUAGUUUGUGUACUGUAUGUUGCAUCCAGUUGCUAACCCUUUCUUUUUCGUGUUGCUCUAGUAUAUUUUGGUGCAUAUGAUUGUACAUCCUCUUGAUGAAGAUGCAUCUCUAACAGGUACCUAGUUUCUUGAUGGCAAGAUGGCAGUGCUAUGUCAUGUACAAAGGGAAGGUUCUGGGGGUGUACAACGAGUGGCCUGAGUGUCGGGCACAAGUGAAUGGGGUCUCGGGCGCCAGCCAUAAAGGCUUCAAAAGCAGACAAGAAGCGGAAGCUAGUUACUUGAGGUUCAUGCUAGCGCGAGAGAGGACUCGUAACCGCCGCCUCAUGUACUGGAUAGUUCCGCUCUCACUCAUAGUGAUAGCUCUUCUCGCGUGUAUCAUUGUUUAGAUGGAUGACGUUGUAGUUGCAAGUAUUCGAGACUUGCAUGUAUCGCUAUUUGCGAGAUGAUGACGAGAUACCACUUUGUGUUGGAUGAUGAUUAUGAUGAGAUUAUUUGUAUGUAUAUGCUAUGAUUACAUUUGUGGUCUCGCAGCCAUUUGUAUGUGUAUGAUGAUGAAAUUUGUAUGUGCUAAAGAUUCUUGUAUGAAGCCUGUUCAAAUACAAAACAAAUAUGAAGAAAAAAAAUCAAAAACUACUGAAAUUAGCAGUAGCGAGUGGAGAAAAGUUAGCAGCAGCAUGACAAUAGCAGUAGCCCGUCCUAGCAAAGCGUGCUAGAGCUAUUAGCAGUAGCGAGCUUCCAUACAGCAUGCUGCUGCUACACUUGUUUAGCAGUAGCGCAGGCGCACACGCGCUGCUGCUACGGGUUAGUUGUAGCACCUUAUCAGUAGCGCCCGCCCCGCGCUACUGAUAUACCUAGAACCCGCGUUGCUGCUAGGCUUUUCCCUAGUAGUGCUUUGUUGCGGGAAGAGCCACGGCCAUGGGAGCCACCACCACGGCCCCGCACAACGGCGUUGGGAGAGGAGCGAAAACCACCGCCCGAGUUGUUGAACUGGGCCAUGCGCUGAGCGAAGUUGCUCAAGAUGGCGUAGAGUUUGUCAAGGGAGACCGGCGUGAUGCGUGCGUCCAGGGCGGAGAUGAGGGGCUGGUAGUCGACCUCCAGCCCGUGGAUGAUGUAGGAGAUGAGCUCGGCAUCUUGGAUGGUCUUCCACGCAGCUGCAAGCUCGUCGGCAAGGCCGCGGAGGGAGCCGAAGUAGGCGGCAACCGUCUGGUUGCCCUUCUGCGCGUUGAUGAGUGUCGUCCUGAUGUUGUUCACAUGGAUCAUGGACUAUGACGAAAACAUACCUGCCAACGUAGUCUAAAGCACGUGUGCGUGGUGACCGUGGUUACCGUGACGAGCACCUCCUUGGAUAGGGUGCUGAGCAAAUAGUGCAAUCCUCCUGGACCCAGAUUGGGUGGAGAGGGUUGGGUGCAGAGCUUUCUUUGCCAUCCUUAUCCUUGGUGACAUGAAGCCUUGCCGGUUCCGGUGUGGUGUCGUCAACGUAGCCAAAGACACCGGCGCCACGCAGAUGGGGAGUGACCUGCAUGCGCCACAACACAUAGUUCGUGCGUGUUAGCUUCUCUGUGACCUGUCCAUUGAGGGUAGGUUGGGAGGAGCCGGAGAAGGAAGACAUGGCUAGUUAGGCCGACGGGUUCGUGUUAACUAGAUGGGGUGCAGCUUCCAUAAUAGCGCAUACAUGUGGUUGAGAUUACAAUUUUGGAGAUAAAAAAAGGAGAUAGAUAUAAGAGGUUACAUGAGAUAAACAUGAUACUCUUAACAACCUAACUAUCUCCUAUGCCACAUAUCUCUGGGCUAGAUGCGCCGGUCAUGUAUGUGACAUGUUGACAUGUUUAACAACCACCAUCAUUUUUUUACUGCUCCACUUAAAUUCAAAAUGGAGUGUGCGAGGCCUGGCUCAGUUGACAACAGUCGUUAAGCAUGCGCCACAUCCUCCAACGGUGAGGAUAAUCAAGAUGUUCCUCACUGACGACCGAUCAUGCCGGAAUUAGCCUAAUGAAACCACAUACAUCUAACCUCUUCUUGAGAGCUGACUCUACUAACGGACACCUGAGACCUCUUUCUACUAAAAGACACCACUUGUGAAGGUGGAGUGAAGCAUCCAUCUGCCAGGGCUCAGUAUUUUUUCGAAUUACAGAAAUGGUCAAAUCCAUGGACUCGAGGUUUGUCAUAUUAUAGCAAGACCAUGGAAUCCCAUCUCAAAUCACAGUUUCCUUCAUAUAUGUAAACUGAACAGCUAGGUUGGGGCUGGACUACCGGCUGCCGUUGACCUGGGCGUACCGAUUGAUGCUGGUGGCAACCUGGCCAUCGCAUCCGGGCGGUUCUUGAGGCGGAGGUGCAGCGGUGCAGGCCGGCGUCGAUGUUGGAGCCGAAGCAGAGGGGUGGAGGAUGUAGGCAGUGGGGAACGGGGCGUUGUUGGCAACCAUGGCAAUGGUGGGUGAACAACGGGUGGCGUGGGGCGUUUUCAUUGUCUAGCAGGGUAAAGGGGUAAAGGUGGGUUUAGAUGGGCUAGAUGUGAAACCCGGUCAAAAAAAAAAAGAAUCAUGUCCAAUGAAAACCCACGUAUCUGAGUGGGAUGGGCUGAUUAGUCCCGCUUAGCCCCACUCGUUUCUUGAUUCCGGCAACCUGAAUUGUGAACAAAAGCAACACUCUCGACAAAACUAUCACUCUGUGGACCUUGACAUUGCAGGAAUUUGAAUCAUACAGCUGCAGAAGUGCUCAUCUUUGUUAUGGAAAAUAUCCCAAUGCCUCACAUGCCUAACGACGUCAACGGCCAAUGUAGUGGCCUUGCUAAAUGGCUGGUGUGUCAUCUCUCCAUGAAAAGCAUCAACCCACAUAGACUGGUUGCUCGGUGAUCCGUGUUUGCUAUAUAUGUGGGCGGAAAAAGUGGAUAGAUGAUCAUACAUUUAUGACAUGAUUAUACAAAAUUAUUCAUCGAUUAUUUGACGGUUCACCUACUGCUUUACUCCAUCUUCAUCACUCCGUUCAAAAGUAAAUGAAAUGAAAAUUGUGACCUUUUAAAAGUAAGUCAAGAAUAUAAUCUCAGUGGUCCAUCGAUCAAGAUUAUGUUAGAAAAUUUAAACAUUGUUAAUUAAGGAUUUUGCACAAAAAUAAGGAAUCGUGUACAGAUAAAGGUAGUUGGGGUUUCAUCUCUGUAUUGAGCAUCUUAUUUCACGUUGGAUGCAAGUUCUCAUGAUAUGUUAUUAGCUAAUGCUCCAGUCACGAUUUUUUUGGUAUGGUUAGGUCUAUUUUUUGUUGGGCUCUUUCCCUCUUCAUCUUUCAUGGUGCAAAAAGCCUUCACGUGGUAGAAGUUGGAAAAUUUACUUGCUUUCUUGCUUAAUGAAUAGAUGUGCAAAGUAUCUAAAAUUAAAGCGCGGGACUGAAGAAAAGAAAUCAGAGGUCAAAAAUGUGCCAUUUGAUUCAGCGAGUUAUUUUGACCAAUGAAAUGGGUUCAAUCAAGGUGUCACUUCAAUCCCCUAACUUCUGAAAAAACACGAUAAUAGUCUACAUUUUUGGCCAAGAGUUGAUAAAAACUUCCAUUUUGUUGCCAGAACACACAACUGCACUCAUUCAGUUAUACUUAAAUUAAGGCCCUGUUCGGAACUUCCCCGCUCCGUGGAGUUGGGGAGUUGGGUUUUGGCAGCUCCACCUAAUUAAGCUAAAAGAUGGUCCGCUCCGGGAGCGGAGUUAACGGAGCAGAGACAAACCGAACACAGCCUAAAGUAGCUUGUAUAAACCUGCAGCUCCACUCCCAUCGACCUUUGAGGCAAACGAUGAUGACCGAAUGGCUGGCUUGGUGGGCAAAUUGAUAAUACUAAAAUCUAAGGGUUGCAGCUUGAUGUUCUGUCAGGACCGGAUUUUCGUCACCCACAUCUCAAGGAUUUCUCUGAAAAUAUAUUGCCACGGCAUGUAUCAGCCAAAGAAUGGCAUCCACACUAGCCUGAACUGUUAGGAAUAAGCCACGCAUGAGUAUGUGCUCGUGUGUGUGAUCUGUGUGCAUGAGUGUGUGUGUGCUCGUGGUAUGCGUGGCGUGGUGGUAAGCACAUGAGCUAGCUAGAUGGGCAUGCAUGUAUGUAUUAGUUGCGGUGUUUAGCAGGUCGUUAGCAGCGGCCGGUGGAGAUGGCCGCGUCAAGCGCUCGUAGCGCGUGUAGCGUGCAUGGCCGGGCUGAUCGUUUGCAUGCAGCGGAUAGCUAGGUGGAGAAACGUGGGCGUUGCGUUUGCUGUAGGACUACAAAGCUGCCGUCGUGGGUGUGUGUUUGUACAAAAAGUUGAGCACCAUUUAGACAUUGCAAAGAGAAAAAAGAUUCGGGCGUUCGUGCGCCCGUGGCGGCGUUCGUCGCCGGCCAGAAAACUUGUGUCCACUGUGUUCAUCUCCUUCCUUCGUUCUUGUUCGAGCGAGUGAGGAGAGGGAGAGGUAGCUAGGGUUUCCGUUUGGCAACAACAUUUGGUAUCAUGAGUUUCGUGUCUUGGGCGUGCUUGCCGUGCCGGAGGCGUGAACUCGCCAGUGGCUGCGCGAUGGAGCUCCGAGCGGUGUGUCGGCCUAUGGAGGUGUGCGGCGCUGCAGCGGUCAUGGCGGAGGCGGAGGCGACACACGGUGAGUCCGCGAUGAGCUCGGCGGACGUGGAGGCUUCGGCGGCGCGGUGGCGGCACGCGGCAAGCACGAUGGAGACCGGCGUCGGUGUGGCAGGUCGAGUCCGUGGCAGUGGCGACCGGCGUUAGCGCGUCAAGUCGGGUCCGCGGCCAUGACGACAAUGACGAUGGAAGCAGCAGCGUCAACUCCAGCGACCACGAGCAGGCGACAUGUUACAGCGACGACCGAGGUGUUAAAGACGACGUCGACGACGAGUCGGGGCUCAUGCUGGCAGGCUACGCGGCGAGGUCGUGGCUUAGGGUGAAAGUGUUAGACAUAAGCCACGUGUGUGUGCGUGCGUCGAGCCGGGCGCCGGUGCAUGGCCGCGUCGAUGGUCUUGGCGAGCGUGUCCGUUGCUGUGGUGAUGGGUUGAGCAGGCGCUGCGUGCGUGGGUAGCAGAGGGCUACAAAGCCGGGCCACGUCCAGGUUGUUAGCUAGGUGCAUGCAUCAGAUGGAUAUGAUGCGCAUGUAGGCUAGUUAGUUGGUUAGCUACCGGGUCAUGUGGUUAGUUAGCAAGAUUAGUGCUGGACGUGCGUGCGUGGAGUUGGUGGCCGAGUCGCGUGUGUGCGCUAGCCUGGGUAUAAAACCCUCCAUUGUGUACUGAUGUAAGGGCGCCGGUCUGUUGCCGCGCCACGAUGACAGUAUGUGCCGAACUGAGGGAGAGGGGCAUAUGAAAGAUGUAGUCUCCUUGGGAUCGUGGUAUGCGUCCGGUUGAUGUGAGAGUUCUUCCGGGGUUAUGCUGCGUGUGUGCGUGCGUACCUCCAUGUAUGUGUGUUUGAGUAGUUGAGUUGAAUAGAAGCCAACAUACAGGCCGUUCGGCGGCUGGGGCGUUCGUCGCCGGAAAAUUCUAUUCAUCUUCUUCUAUCUUCGUCCGGUGUUCAUCGCCGGAGGGCGGUUCAGCGUAUGUCGCCGGUGGGUUUGUCCCAAGAUGAACAUUUAGGUAUCUCAUUUCUAAUACAAAAUCUUUAAUGAACAAAACUAUCAGCAAAACAAUACAACUGAGAAAAUAUUAGAUUUCAGAAAUUACAUAUAUGUUAAGCGUAAGUAAAACACUAGUAUACGUCUAAAAAUACUCAACUGUCACAUGAACGAACCCUGCAAAGCAUCUGUCAUGCUCCAGACAUGCCAAAAGCACAAUGUUUUUCCAUAAUAUUACAGGUAACUCUUGUUAAUUCAAUUGCAGUUUUGGAUGAUGGAUAUAUGUUUUCAACAAAAUACACUGUACACAGAAUUUUUAGUACAAAAGAAUCAUAAAUCUCAUGAGAUUAACAACAUCUCUUGGAAAAAUAAUACGUCAACCAGAAAUUUUACAACACAACAACAACGUUCUGUUAACCAACAAUACAAAGUGGAGCAAUGGUGAGCCAGUAGAAUUUCAGGAAAACAACCAGGAAGUUUAAAACAGAGCUCAAGUGUUCUCCAAAAUAAUGCAAAACAACCUUUUAAGCAACAUUACAAAAAGGAGCAUUUGCAAACGAGUCAAAAUUCACAGGAUGUUUUUCUGUAGUUUGCUAGUUUUUUUAUGGUCAUUGCUAGUUAUGGAGCCAUUCCUGGCAGAGUAUGCAAUAUCUUGGAGCAAUGACAAAAAAUAUUAAAUUAACCAUUUGAAUUUCAAGAAAAGUUUGUUUGUUUUUUGUUAUACGAGCUUUAUUAAAGCCCUGCUUUACAAAGAAAGUAAAGUAAUUGUACGACUCGGGUUUUUUCCCCAAAACCCUAAAAGCUCUGGCGCCGCCCAAGGCGAUUAGGGUUUCAGAGUGAAAUCAAGAUUACGCCCGGGGAUUCGUCGCCGGUGCGAAGGGAGACGAGAGCGAACGAGGGCGCGCAGAUGGUGGGCCGUGGCGCUGCAAGGAGCGAUCCUGAAGCGGGAGCAGGCGCGAGAAAGAAGCUGGAGGAGGCCCUGGGAAAGCUCGAGAUAUCUGAAGAAGAGGCCACCCCUCUGGUUCUUGACGAUCGGAUCGAGGGAGGACCGGCGAAGUGCCUGUUGGCAGGGAAGGUAUUGCACCGGAACCCGUUUCAUAUCCAGACUAUCACCAACGCUCUUCGGCUGGCGUGGGGGAACCCGCGUGGUUUGCAAUUCCGAUCUGCUGGAAUCAACGUGUUUGUGGCUGAGUUUGAAAAUCAGCGAGACAGGGACCGUGUUUGGGGAGGAUCGCCAUGGCAUAUUAACAAGAAUGAUGUGGUGUUAGCUGAGUUCGAUGAAUGUAUGAGGCCGGAUGAAGUUAAGUUUGAUCGGCUGCAAGUUUGGGCUAGGGUUAUAAACUUACCCUACAAUUUGAGGGAUGAGGCAUGGUGGAAUCCAAUAGCCAAGCAGAUGGACAAGGAUGCGCAACUUGUGAAGUUUGAACACAAUGGCGGAUAUCUGCGGGCGCGAGUUUCCAUUGAGGUGGCAAAACCAAUCAGGAGGUGGAUCCUGAUAGACUCUGCCAGGAGAAAGAAGGUGGACAUGUACGACAUCCAGUAUGAAAAGCUACCGUACUUUUGUUUCUCCUGUGGCAGAUUGGGGCAUUCAGAGCUAUAUUGUCCUACACCGGGUUCACGUGAUGAGAACGGGAAUCUGCCUUUUGGCCCUUCGCUGCGAGCGCCGGAUGAAUUCAGAAAGCAGGGAUCCAAUGAUAACUCCUCUAGGGAUACGCGAACCGGUGCUCAAAGCAAGGCAACCACCAAGAAUUCAAGUACCAACAAGGAUUUGGGAGAGGAAGUGGAGUCUCCGAAGAAGAAUAAGCAAUAGUCAAAAUGAAAAGAGGCUCCUGUGCAAGUUUAUAGGCCAGUGGCUAAAACCUUACUUCUUACUGAUGGAGGAUUAGUGGCUGAUGGGGCCGGUACAAGCUUGAGCAAAGAUGAUCCAUCUUCAGCUAGCAACGAAGCAGACAACGAGGGACUAUUCCGUGAAUCGAAGAAAAAGAAACCCACACCAGAAAACUCGGCAGAGACCGCGUCGCGGUCCUGCCAGGAGCAAUGAGUUGCUUGAGCUGGAACUGCCGGGGGCUUGGGAACCCUGAGGCAGUUCGUGAACUUCGCAGCAUUGUGAAGUUGGAAGGGCCCACUCUUCUCUUUGUAGUGGAAACGAAAAUCAAAGCAAAAAGAGUUGAGGUUUUGAAGCAUUCACUAGGUUUCGGUGGGUGUUUUGCUGUAGACAGUGCCGGUCUUAGCGGCGGUAUUGGUAUUUUUUGGUCUCGAGAUGUAUCUGUCGAGUUAAAAAACUAUAGCCAGAGCCACAUUGAUGUGGUUGUCAAGAGUAAUAUUCAGGAUUUGACUUGGCGUUUCACUGGUUUUUACGGAGCUCCGCGAGCAGAAGAUAGGCACCAUUCCUGGCGGUUCUUGCGUACACUUCAUACGUUACCACAUGCUGCAUGGUUGAGCAUGGGAGAUUACAAUGAGACACUAUACCCUUCGGAGCAUUUUAGUAGAUCAGCGCGAUCUGAAAAUCAUAUGUGUGCUUUUCGGGAGGUGAUAGAUGAGAUCUCUUUCCAAGACUUGGGCUGGUCCGGUACGGCCUAUACUUGGGAUAAUCAUCAAGCUGGAGGAGCGAAUGUCAAGGCUCGGCUCGACCGCGCUUUUGCAAAUGAAACUUUCAGGCAGCUAUUUCAGCAUAUAUGUGUCAGGCAUAUUCCUUCGGUGGAGUCUGACCAUUGUUUCGUGAUUGCGGAGAUUAAGGAGAGCCUGCCAUCGUCAACACCAAAACGGAAACAGUUUAGAUACGAGAACGUUUGCCAGACUCAUACAGAUUAUGACCGGCUGGUAAGCGAUACCUGGCGGGGCAUACAGCACACACCAGGGCUCCGGGGCGUGGCGUCCGCUUUGACUACCUUGCAGGCAACGCUGGGACCCUGGGGCUCCAAGGAGUUUGGCAGCCUGUCACGUUCUGUCAGGCAGUUGCAGAAGCGACUGGAUCGCCUUCGGUGCCGGUCCAUUGGUACAGGUCCGACGGUGGAGGAGGAAACUGUUGUCAAGAACCUAAAGGAGGCCUUGCAUCAGGAGGAAAUCUGGCUUCGACAAUGUUCUCGUGUUCCUUGGCUUCGGGAUGGUGACCGAAACACUUCCUACUUUCAAGCUCAAGCAGCCCAACGCAAACGCAUGAACAGGAUUUCGGGCUUGAGAAGAGCCGAUGGUUCUACUUGUGCCUCUGAAAGUGAGGACAAGGAAGAGGUACAAAACUUUUACCAGAAUUUGUAUCGCUCCCAGGGUUGGGGAGACUCCAGCUUGCUAUUAUCGCAUGUGCUAGAGAAAAUCACCCAAGCCAUGAAUGAUGAUUUGAUCAAACCCUACACGGGAGAGGAGGUAAAAAUCGCGUUGCUCCAGAUGGCGCCUUCCAAAGCCCCUGGUGUGGAUGGUUUUACUGCAGGGUUUUACCAGCGUCACUAGGAUUUGCUAGGAAACGAGGUAACCUUGGCAGUUUUGGACUUUCUUAAUGGAGGAGAACUACCGGCUGGACUGAAUGAUACGUCUAUAACAUUGAUACCUAAGGUACGUCAUCCCCAAUCGAUCACGCAGUAUUGGCCUAUUGCCUUAUGUCCAGUGCUUUACAAGAUUGCAGCCAAGGCUAUAACAAACCAGCUAAGAAGCUUGAUGGAUUUGAUAAUCAGCGAGGAGCAAAGCGCUUUCGUUCCCGGACGUCUUAUUACAGACAACGUUCUUGUGGCUUAUGAAAGUAUCCAUACGAUGAAAAGAAGAAAGAAGGGAAAGAACUUUUCUUGCGUGGUUAAGCUUGAUAUGAUGAAAGCAUAUGACCGUGUCGAGUGGCAUUAUCUCGAGGCACUAUUGUCCCGGUUGGGUUUCAGUAUGGAUUUUGUCAGACUAAUAAUGAAGUGUGUUUCCUCUGUCCGGUUUUCUGUACGACUCAAUGGAGAACUACUUCCUUAUUUUACACCCACCAGAGGUUUUCGGCAAGGAGACCCAGUGUCACCAUAUCUUUUUCUACUUUGUGCCGAAGGUUUCUCAUCAUUGUUGAAACACUACAAUGGGGGAACCAUUGAUAGGGGACUACGGGUGAGUUACAGAUCGCCGUGGGUAACCCAUUUGCUUUUUGCGGAUGAUAGUCUCAUCUUCAUCAAUGCAAGCAACCCAAGUGCUCUCCGGUUAAAUGAUAUCUUGAGGAUUUAUGAGGAGGCCUCGGGCCAGUGUAUCAAUAAGGAGAAAAGUGCUAUAUACUUCAGUUCAAAUACUCCCACAGAUCUGAGGCAACUUUUGAAGACAACCUUGAACAUCCAGGUUGAGGCGUUCAAUGAGAGGUAUCUGGGUCUCCCUACUGCUGUGGGACGGAUUACGAGUGGGACAUUUGAUCAUAUCAGUGAAAGAGCCAGGGCUAGAAUGCAAGGAUGGUCGGAAAAAUUACUCGCCUGUGCAGGUCGUGAGACAUUGUUGAAAUCAGUGGUCCAAGAAAUUCUGACCUAUCCAAUGAGUACUUUUCUGUUAACCAAAAAAGUUUGUAAGAGUCUGACGUCUCCUAUGGCCAAGUAUUUCUGGAGUAGUUCUCUUGACAAAAGAUCAAUGCAUUGGGUGUCUUGGAAAGAGCUUGCAACGCCCAAAUGCAAAGGCGGUAUGGGUUUCAGAGACCCACACAUGUUCAAUCUUGCCAUGUUGGGUAAACACGGAUGGCGUUUUCUAACAAAUCCCGAAUCCCUCUGUGCAAGAGUAUUGAAGGGACCGUAUUUUCCUGAUACGGAUUUUAUGCAUGCGGCCUUACCCAAGUCGUCUUUGGCCACUUGGAAAGCUAUUAUAGCAGGAAGAGAAGCCCUUCGGACAGGCUUGAUCUCCCGUGUUGGAGAUGGCACUACUAUUGAUGUUUGGAAUGAUAAAUGGAUUCCAGGUACUAUCUCUAUGUCACCUAUCUCAAGACCACCGGGCACUGCAAUCCAAAGGGUGGAAGAGCUCAUUGAUACAUCCAACUGGACUUGGAAGCAUGAGGUGGUCCGGGAGAAUUUCAUUGCCCCGGAUGCUGAGGCCAUUCUUAAUAUUCCUAUUCGGCAAGGGGGAGGGGAUGAUUACCUUGCUUGGGCAUUCGAACGAUCAGGCAACUACACUGUGAAGUCGGCGUACCGUGCUCUUGUGAAUCAGAACGAGCGUUUGGCUCUAGAUGAAAGGACGGCUACCGGUACCUCCAAUGAUGAACAAUAGAUGUGGAAAGCCUUGUGGAAAUUGAAUGUUAUCCCAAAAGUGAGAGUCUUUUGGUGGAGAGUUCUUCGUGGGAUUCUACCAGAUGAAGCUACUCUCAACUAUAGACACAUUGCGGAAAUUCGCCGAUGCAAAGUUUGUCUUGCUAUGGAUGAGGAUCUAAAGCAUGCAUUAAUACACUGCUCGCAUGCUAAGCGCUUCUGGGAGGAGGCGUGUGCAUGGUUCGGGCUCCGGCUUCCACGGCUACAUCCGGACUCGUGGGCUCGCGACAUUUUAUGUGACUCAGGCUUUACGGAUGACGACCGUGCAAAGAUCACCACUAUUAUGUGGUCUAUUUGGCAUUCCAGGAAUCGUAUCAAGCACGGUGAAGAUGGUCGGGACCCUACAGCGACGAUCAGAGCAACAAAAGAGGCUAUUGCACUUCUUCACUUGCCGCGCAAGGAUACGAUGGUCUUGCCUGGCUAUGGGUGGCGGCCUCCUGAUGAUGGGUUUGUGAAGAUCACGACCGAUGGAGCUCUAAACUUAAUGGAUGGUAGGGGAGGCGCGGGAGGCAUUGCUCGAUCCCCUACGGCUCUCCUAGGUGCCUGGUGCAAACCAUAUGUGGGGAUUUCGGAUCCCUUGAUCAUGGAGGGACUUUCCUUGCGAGAUGGUGUUCGAUUCACUGCUCUUCGUGGUUUCUCGCAUGUGAUAAUGGAAGUCGAUUGCUUGGAGUUGGUGACACUCUGAACCACCCGCCACAGUUCCCGUUCAAUUGUGGCUCCUUUACUUUUCGAGAUCGGAGAGCUUAGUUCUCAUUUUUCCUCUUUUGUUAUCCAACAUGUAAACAGGUCAGCCAAUUUACCGGCUCACUUGUGUGCCAAACAUGCUUGCGCACUCAAUGUGACCGAUAGUUGGCUUGACGAGACUCCUAGCUUCUUGGUGUCCAGCCUCCUGGCUGAUUGUCCCAAGAAUGCGUUUACUUAAUAAAGCUCUCUGAAUUUCACCGAAAAAAAAUUGUACGACUCAGGCACAAAUUUAAGCUGACGGAACAGAAACAUAGUCACCAGGGUCACUGGUGGAGACGUUCCCACAGGACUGCACUCAGGAAAGGUGUUACAAAGCUCUAGAAAGAAGUCACCUACACAGGACUUCAUCACCGGCUCCCAAGUUACUGCCAUGAGGCAAAAUAAACGUUUGCUAGUAACUGCCAGCAUUAUUUUACUGCGCCACUGAAGUUCAAAAUGGAGCGUGCCAGGCGCCACCACCUGGCUCAAGUGCCAACAGAGUCGUUGAGCAUGCGCCCUCCAAUGGUAACGAUGGUCAAGAAAGUUUCACGUUGAUGAUAAUAUUGAAUUCAUUCUUCAGCCAACUCAUUCAAAAGUCCGAACUGAUGAAGAGAGGCAGGCAAUAUAUUUCAACACUCCCGCUCAAAACGCAAUAAAUAAUUGCGGCCUGCCCCCGCUUCCACUACCCACGUCAUAUAGCUCCAAAGGAGCAUAGACGUGUGAGGGGUGUUGGAGUAUGAUGUCCGACCCUCUCCCUCAGAUCGGUCUUUUGGUUCCAUCGGCUAGAGCAUGCAUUUCUACAUGGUAUCGGAGCCAAGAGGUCUUGAGUUCAAGACCCGGUUGGCGCAAUUAAAUUGCAUCCCAUUUUCGGACCAUGUUUAGGCAUGAGGAAGUCACACGUGAGGGGGAGUGUUGACGUUUAAUAUGCUGCCUAGUCUCUUUCAUCAGAUCGGUCUUCUGGUUGCAUUGGCUAGAGCAUGCACUUCUACCGACAAAUCAUGACGCCAGAAUUAGCCAUGGUCAAACAUGUCUUUGCGUAAGGCGUCUUCACAUGUACUUACCAUGCCUGUUUCUUAGGCGCGUAUGAGGGGGGCAGACCCCAAAAUAAGAUUUUUGGGGGGUCAGUGGGCGAAUUAAGUUUCUCCAGGGCAUUUAGUAAAAAUAAUUAUACUCAUCCCUAUAAUGAGCAUCUUCUUUCACCUUGCAUGCAAGUUCUCGCAGAGUAUAGAAAGAAUUAAAUCCAAAGCAGAAACAAUGCAGUCAUGACAUGUUUUUUUUUGAAUUCAAAGGUAGAGCAUUUUCUGCCUUAUGCAUUCAAAACGGGCGAAAAACCCGUAUGACCAGAGUCAUUUACAUGAAGGUGAGGUUAACGCCGCACAAAAAAAAUGCAGCAGGCCAUCACCAGACCUAUUGUGAUACAGAAAUCAUGAUAGAAGAAAGGGAGAGAACACGCAUUUUUCUAACUGGGAGUAAAAGCAGCUGCCCAGUCCAACAAGUUCUGCCUAGAAUGUUGUGAGGCACGCAGGCUCCAUAAUUUGAUCAGCUCAAUGACUCCAGUGUAUACCUGGCGCUCCUGCCAAAAGGAUCCCUCGAACACUCGAGCAUUCCUGGCAUUCCAAAGUGCGACCGCACACGCCGCAAAGAGGAUAUGCCACAGCUUGCCAUGCAGUGUCCUCGGUUGGUCUGAGCAUAGGAAAAAAUCAGGUUCUGCAGAAGAUGUGGCCAACUCCUGCAAGCCUAAGUUGAACCACAACGCUUGUGCAAGUUUGCAUCUCAGUAGUAUAUGGCUCAUUGUCUCCGCAACUGGGCAAAGGUCACAGCCAUUAUGCGAAACAACUUUAUCCCAAUGUUUCCUUAACAUAUUAUCUCUGGUGUUGUGUCUGUCCCGGAGUCCAAUCCACAGGAAUAUACGGUGCUUGUGUGGUAUGAUUCUGUCCCAAAUGAGACGGGCUGGCGCAUAUGUUUUACCUCGAAAGGUGAGCAGUUUGUAGAAAUAAGCAGUCCUCAGGCUCCUAUCAACGAGCAGAGGCAUUCUGGUGUCAGCUGUAUCAACUUGGGGCUGCACAUUACAAGGGCUUCCAACUCUUGUGUUGCCGUGUAGGAGAGGUUGGGAUGAAGCUGGAGGCUCCAUUGCCCAUCUCUAAACUGGGAAGCGACCGUGCAAAACUGGGCCAUAGAGAAGGUAAAAAGUGUCGGAAAACCAGUCAUAAGCCGACCACAAUCGAGCCAGUUGUCAUACCAGAAGGCAAUUCCUUGACCAUUCCCAAGUUUGCAUUUGGAAGCUUCCAUAACCAGCUGCACGGUGGUUCUGACACCUUUCCAGAUAGCGGUAUCCCGAUGGUGAGGGGUCCAGGAUAAUUCCUUCUGACAGUAUGUCUGUGCAAACCAACUAUAGCACGGUGCUUCUUCUUGCUGAAGAACUUUUGCCAUAAACUUGCAUAGCAAGGCCUUGUUGUGUGCUGCAAGGUCUCUCACCCCCAGCCAUCCAUUCCCUUUCGGUAGUGUGACCACAUCCCAAGCGACAAGGCACUGCCCCCCAAUGGCCUUAUCCUUCCCUUGCCUUAGACCACACUUUGUUAGGAUCCUUUCGCCACGAUUGCCAUUGAUAAUAAUUCUGAAGGAACUAGUUUUUAGUAUGUCAUCCACCCACCUGGUCCAUCUGUCCCCAGAAAACUUUGCACUGGCAGCCGAACUAGUGCAACAAGCCAGGAAGAGGAAAGCACCUAUGAUUGUACUGAAGCUUGACUUCCAGAAAGUCAUGACAUGUUAUCAGCUCCUGCUCUAGUCAAGAUUGGUUAGGUGUAUUUUUGGUCGGGCUCUUUCCUCUUCAUAUUUCAAAAGUAAAAAAGCCACCACGUGUCGGAAUUAUCAAAAUUUCUUACUCUCACUAGUAGAAAAAGGACCUAAUAUGAGACGCAUUAGUGCCGGUUUGGUUUUGAGCCGGCACUAAUGUGUCCAAUAGUACCGGUUCCAACGGCUAGCCGGCCGUUCUCAUUAGUACCGGUUCGUGGCGAACCUAUAGUACCGGUUCGUGCCACGAACCGGUACUAAAGAGGGUGGUGGCAGGGUGUUGUCAGUCUGGGCCCCGUCCAGCACCUUUAGUACCGGUUCGUGGCACGAACCGGUACUAAAGGUCGACGUACAUAAACCCUUCGUCCCCCCGAGCCACUCUGUUCUUCCCCUUUCCCCUCACUUCCUCUGUUCUUCCCCCUCUCUCCUCGAGCUCCUCAUAAAUUUUGCCCAAAAUUUGUCAAGAUUUGAAGGCCCCCAUCCAUUCAAAUGAUCACAAAGGUUAGCAACUUUGUCCUUUCAACUCUCAUUGCUAGAUUAGCUCUUGCAAUGCUUUGUAUAGUGAUUAAUUUGGGAGGAAUAAUUAUAUUUGCUAGUAUUUGAUUUAUAUGCAAUUUGAGCACAAAAAUAACACUUAGUUUGCAUAUGUAGGUGUGGUUUACUUAGUGCCUUCUAAAUCUCCGCCAUAACCACCGUCGAUCGCCCGCACCAUCCCGUCGCCGGCACCACCUUCUGGUGAGGCUCUUGUUCAUGAAUGUUUUACAUUACCAAAUUGAUGUUUAUGUGAUUUGGAUAUAUAGUUACUCGUAUAAUUAUCUUACCCGUACGUUGUCUGUUAUACAUAGUGCCAUGGUUUUGAUAUCCGUCCCCGUCGGCCCUCGUCCUUGUUAUGAUUCAGAUGUGGUAUAUUCUCUUUUAAAACUAGUUGUUGCAUUUCAUGUUUAUGACAAAUUAUGCCCAUCAAGUUGACAUAGAUAUUUUUAUCUAGGAGGUAUGUGAACCGGAAAUUCCAACCGACCCUAUGUCGAGAGGUUAAAUUUAGUUGAAAGAGAAAACGAGUAUUUGAAAGAAAAAAUGAAAAGAAUUGAGGAGGAGAAGAUGGAAUUAGAGUUGCAUGUUGCCGAUGUCGUCGAUGAUCACAAGAUCAAGAUGGAGAAAAUGAGGUUGAAGAUUAGAAAGAUUAGAAAAUAUGCCAUUGUUAGUGUGGCUUGGUAUCAUUAUGCUGUUGGAUCAAUUGUUACCUUAAUUGCGAUCUUCAUCGCAUUUGUUGUUGCAUUUAAAUUCUUUAGCUAGAGAGUUAUUUGUAUGUUGUAUUUAAUUAAGUGUUGUAUAUGAACUUUAUGUAUGAACUUGUAUUAAUUUGGUCUAUUCGGUGUUGUGUAAUGAAGAUGAGCCGACAAUGGAUGUAUGAUGACAGAUGCUCUCCCGAGUUCAUUAAUGGCGUGCAUACUUUUCUGCUUGCCGCUGAGGCAAACAAGCGGGCGGAUGGUUUUAUGCCUUGUCCAUGUGCUGGCUGUAAGAAUGGUCACAGUUACUCUACGUCAAGAACCAUUCACGUCCACCUAUUUGAGUUCGGUUUCAUGCCCCACUAUAAUGUUUGGACCAAGCACGGAGAAAUAGGGGUUAUGAUGGAAGAAAAUGAAGAAGAGGACGACGACGGCUAUCCUGGCCAUGGGUUUCCUGAAUACAAUGAUACAACAAUGGGGGAAAAAGCUGAGCUGGCAAUGCAGAAAGAAGCUGAAGAAGAGGCAUCAGAUGAGCCCGCUGAUGAUCUAGGUCGGGCCAUUGCCGAUGCAAAGAGAAACUGCACAAGUGAUCUGGAGAGGACGAAGUUGCAGCGCAUGUUAGAGGAUCACAAGAAAUUGUUAUUACCCGAAUUGCGAAGAUGACAAAAAAAAGUUGGGCACCACACUUGAAUUGCUGCAAUGGAAGGCAGAGAAUGGUGUAUCUGACAAGGGAUUUGGAAAGUUGCUGGUAAUGAUAAAGAAUAUGCUUCCAAAUGACAACGAAUUGCCCGAGAGUACGUAUGAAGCAAAGAAGGCUGUCUGCCCUCAAGGGUUAGAGGUGCAAACGAUACAUCCAUGCCCUAAUGACUGCAUCCUCUACCGCGGUGAGUACAAGGAUUUGAAUGCUUGCCCGGUAUGCGGUGCAUUGCAUUAUAAGAUCAGUCGCGAUGACCCUGGUGAUGUCGAGGGUGAGCGCCCUAGGAAGAAGAUUCCUGCCAAGGUGAUGUGGUAUGCUCCUAUAAUACCACGGUUGAAAUGUUUGUUCCAAAACAAAGAGCAUGCGAAGGCGAUGCGGUGGCACACAGAAGACCGUAAGAAAGACAGAAAGUUGAGAGUACCCACUGACGGUUUGCAGUGGAGAAAAAUCGAGAGAAAGUACUGGGAGGAGUUUGCAGGUGACCCAAGGAACGUAUGGUUUGGUCUAAGCGCAGAUGGCAUUAAUCCUUUUGGGGAGCAGAGCAGCAACCAUAGCACGUGGCCUGUGACUCUAUGUUUGUAUAACCUUCCUCCUUGGUUGUGCAUGAAGUGGAAGUUCAUUAUGAUGCCAGUGCUCAUCCAAGGCCCUAAGCAACCCGGCAAUGACAUUGAUGUGUACCUAAGGCCAUUAGUUGAAGAACUCUUACAACUGUGGAAUGGAACAGGUGUACGUGCGUGGGAUGAGCACAUGGGGGAAGAAUUUGACCUAAAGGCAUUGCUGUUCGUGACCAUCAGUGAUUGGCCUGCUCUCAGUAACCUUUCAGGAUAGACAAACAAGGGCUACCGCGGAUGCACGCACUGUUUGGAUGAUACCGACAGUAUAUAUUUGAAUAGUUGUAAGAAGAAUGUGUACCUGGGACAUCAUCGAUUUCUUCCGAGCAGGCAUCCCGUAAGAAAGAAAGGCAAGCAUUUCAAAGGUGAGGCGGAUCACCGGACGAAGCUUCGCCACCGUACUGGUGCUGAUGUACAUGAUAUGGUCAAGGAUUUAAAGGUAAUCUUUGGAAAGGGUCCUGGCGGACAACCUGUUCUGAAGGACGCUGACGGACGCGCACCCAUGUGGAAGAAGAAAUCUAUAUUUUGGGACCAGCCAUAUUGGAAAGACCUAGAGGUCCGCUCCGCAAUCGACGUGAUGCACGUGACGAAGAAUCUUUGUGUAAUCCUGCUUGGCUUUUUGGGCGUGUAUGGGAAGACAAAAGAUACACCAGAGGCACGGGAGGACCAACAACGUAUGCACGGAAAAGACGACAUACAUCAGGGUCAGGCCAGCUACGCUCUUACCAAAGAAGAGAAGGAAAUCUUCUUCAAAUGCCUGCUCAGCAUGAAGGUACCGUCUGACUUCUCGUCGAAUAUAAAGGGAAUAAUAAAUAUGGUAGAGAAAAAGUUCUAGAACCUAAAGUCUCAUGACUGCCACGUGAUUAUGACGCAACUCCUUCCGGUUGCAUUGAGGGGGCUUCUACCGGAAAACGUUCGAUUGGCCAUUGUGAAGCUAUGUGCAUUCCUCAAUGCAAUCUCUCAGAAGGUAAUCGAUCCAGAAAUCAUACCAAGGUUACAGAAUGAUUUGGUGCAAUGUCUUGUCAGUUUCGAGUUGGUGUUCCCACCAUCCUUCUUCAACAUCAUGACGCAUGUCCUAGUUCACCUUUGCGAAGAGAUUAACGUUUUGGGUCCUGUAUUUCUACACAAUUUGUUCCCCUUUGAAAGGUUCAUGGGAGUCUUGAAGAAAUAUGUUCAUAACCGUGCUAGGCCAGAAGGAAGCAUCUCGAAGGGCCAUGAAAAUGAGAAGGUCAUUGGAUCAUACGACGAGCCAAAGCGCCACAUAGUUCUUUCAGGAAAAAGAAACAUCGUGAGAGUGGAUGACAAGACAGACAUGUCAGAAGAUUAUGAAAAGUUUAAUGAAAUUGCUCCAUUCACAGUGAAUAUUGACCGGAGCAUCCAGUUAAAUGAUGAAGAUUUUCCCUGACUACGACGCAAAGGGACACACGAGAAGAAAAAGUUUCACACCCAAAGAUCUGGGAUGUGAUCGGCUUCACUAUCAUCACUUUCUUCUGUGUUUCACACCUAGGAGGGAAUGUCUGUAAUAGUUAGGGUAGUUAAUUAUGUGUUUUGGCAUUUGAAACGCGAAGAAAUUUUAUGUGCAAACAAAUUCUUUUUCAUGCAUUUACUGAUUUUUUUCCAGCUAAAUGACCCUGAAAUUGAAAAGCAUUUGAAAUGAACUCAGAAAAGGUUGAAAGUUGGCAUGGUAUCAUAAUUUCAUACAAAUAGCAUGUGCAAAAAAGUAGAGAGGGUUACGGCAAAAACUGGAUACACUUCGUGUACAAAAUGGACAAUCUUUUUCGAAGUAUCAGGGUUUUCGACGAAAACUAAAAUGUUACAAAGGCAUUUAGCAUUACCAAAUUGAAUAUAAUGAUAAAACACACUAAUAUUAAACAUAAGAAAAAAGAAUCACUGAAAAAUCUUUUUCCAAAGUUAAGUUAUUCACAAACUAGUGAUUCACACAAAUUUCAAAUAAUUCAAAAUUUAAACUAUUCAAAUUUGAAAACUACCGGCACUAAUAGAUCAUAGUUUGUAAAUUUUUGUACCUAAAGCAAAAAUAUUCACAAAGAAACUCUAAAUAGAGCAAAAAACAACUCAAAAAUAAAUAAAACAAAUAAAAAAGCAAAAAAAAUUAACAAAAUAAAAAAAAGCCCGCCUACUGGGCCAAAGCGGCCUGCAUACGACUAGAAACUCAACCUUUUGUUGGGCCAGGAUGUAGGCCCGCAAAGGCCCAGUAGGCCCACAUGGCAGCAAUGAAUUGGUAGGCCCAGUAGGCCUGCUUAGGAGAGGAGCUCGAGAGAGCUACCGCACUGGGGCUUAUAAAAACCAGUGCGGUAGCCCUUCGACUAGCGAGGUGGGACUAAACUUGCCGCACCGCACUACGCCAGCGCACCCCCUUUAGUACCGGGUGGUGGCAUCAACCGGUACUAAAGGGGGGGCCUUUAGUACCGGUUGGAGCCACCACCCGGUACUAAAGGGGGUGCGCUUCCCGCCGCUUGGCCUGCCAAAACAGACCUUUAGUACCGGUUGGUGGCUCCAACUGGUACUAAAGGUCCAUCCUAUAUAUACAACACUUGAAAAAAAAUUCAGUUUGCCUCUGUACUUCCCUCUGUUUCCUCCCUUCGUCGCGCCGCCCUGCCCUGAUCGUCGCCGNNNNNNNNNNNNNNNNNNNNNNNNNNNNNNNNNNNNNNNNNNNNNNNNNNNNNNNNNNNNNNNNNNNNNNNNNNNNNNNNNNNNNNNNNNNNNNNNNNNNNNNNNNNNNNNNNNNNNNNNNNNNNNNNNNNNNNNNNNNNNNNNNNNNNNNNNNNNNNNNNNNNNNNNNNNNNNNNNNNNNNNNNNNNNNNNNNNNNNNNNNNNNNNNNNNNNNNNNNNNNNNNNNNNNNNNNNNNNNNNNNNNNNNNNNNNNNNNNNNNNNNNNNNNNNNNNNNNNNNNNNNNNNNNNNNNNNNNNNNNNNNNNNNNNNNNNNNNNNNNNNNNNNNNNNNNNNNNNNNNNNNNNNNNNNNNNNNNNNNNNNNNNNNNNNNNNNNNNNNNNNNNNNNNNNNNNNNNNNNNNNNNNNNNNNNNNCGCCGGUGAGCUCGCACCGGCCGCGAAUGUCCACACACACACACACACAUAGUACUACACACACACACACACACACACACACACACUACACACACACUACACACAUUAGUUUGUUUGUUAUAAAUUUUUCUGUUUUUUAGUUAUAGAAAUGUUAGAAAUUAUUCUGUUUUUUAGUUAUAUAAAUAUUAGAAAUGUUAGUUUUAUAGAAAUGUUAUAAAUGUUUUCUGUUUUUUAGUUAUAGAAAUGUUAGCAAUUUUUCUGUUUUUUAGUUAUAUAAAUAUUAGAAUUGUUAUGGAAAUGUUAAUUAUAUAAUCAUGAAAUUUUAGAAUUAGUUUUAGUUAGAUGAAUUAGAUUAAUGUCAAAUUGUUAGAAUUUGCAUAUAUAUAGAAUUUUAGUUAUCACAAUCCAGUCAUUUAAAAAAUGUUACUUUUUGCGGGCAUAUAGUAUUUGUUCUCGACGAUAUGCCCGGCCCGCAUCCUCGUCGUCGACCCGUUCGCGACGACGUCAUGCUUCAGGAGACCCAUGUCCGGGACUAGGCUCCGCCGGGCUGGCACUGGGAGGUGCUACCUGGAGGGGCGCGCCGCUUGGUGAGGAACCCGACCUCGGGUCCCGUCGUCGACCCUGAUCUUCUUUGGUGGCGUUCGCGUGGGCCACAUUCGGUGCAGAGGCAGCCGGCCCCGCCGAAGGUGGUGCGUCGCCGUGUCAGGGAGGAGGAUGAGCACGUCCAUCGCUACAUGGCUGCUAUGGACGACGUCAGGUUCUCCACUACUUGGCGGGUUCUUUGGGCAGAUGACCGGAGAUAUGAUCCUGUGAUGGUUCCUUCUCUUUGGGUGUGCACCGCCCGCGCCCCAGGAACCGCGAGUGGCGCCCUAGAUUCUUCUAUAGUACUCGAUCUUUAUUAGGUACCUAGCCAGUGAUGUAUUCGAUAUAUAGUAUUCGAGACGAUGUAUUCGAGAUUAUAUAUAUUAAGACGAUGAUGUAUUCGUGAUUAUAUAUUCGAGAGGAUGUAUUCGAGAUUCAGAUUUUCCUUAUUGAUUAAUUGCAUCCAUGCAUUGUAAUUUGAAUACUAAAUUGUUUUAUAUUUCUUCUGUAUUAUUAGUAAAGUAAAAGCUAUGGCGGACAAUACCGGCAGAGAGAGAGAAGAGGAAUUGUUCGAUAUCAUACGCAGCCCUCACAGGCUAGAUGAUCUGAAUGAAGCAGAUGACGGCUCCCAAUAUCUUAAAAAUACCGGAGAGGGUGAUGAAAAGAUAUUCGAUCUCGACGACCGGGCUGAUGAAGUCAUGAACUAUGAUUAUGAUUAUGACACAGACAAUGUUUGUGAUGACACAGACAAUGCUGAUCUUCAAAUAACAAACACUACCGGCGAGGUAUAUUUAUAUAAGCAUGCAUCAUGGUGAUCAUCACAUGUUUUUUUAUUGAAGAUAUAUUAACGAAUCGAUCUUUCUUCUUUCAGCCCUCCGGAUCGAGCAAAUCUGCUUCUACAGACAGCAAGACAAAGCCAGGCCCGGGCAGAUUGUUGAAGGAUGGUGUAAAGUACCACAUCGAAUCCAUCAAACCUAGUGGCGAACCCCUCACGCCUAAGAACAUUGCGAACAAGUGGACUCGUCAGUGCGGAGUUCUUGUGAAGGACAAACUCCCGAUCUCCAUUCAAGAAUGGAAAGAGCAAAAGACUAAACGUCCAGGUGUUACUUGGGUCGAUGGCAGAGCCAAAGAAGACCUGGUGAAAUCUCUGAUGGAACAUUUCACCCUACCAGAUCAUUUCACUAAAGCAGAUGUGGACAAAGUCAAGGCCGCUGCUCUUAAGAAGAUGGCAAUUGCAUUCAACACCCACAAGAAAACUGUAUGGGCCAACUACCUCGCUAAUGAAAGGAAGACUCCAGAUUUUAAGGGAACACUGGAGAAGCAAAGAGAACAUUGGGACGAUUUCGUGACCUUCAAGGAUUCAGAAAUAUCUAAGGAACGGUCGAUGAAAAACAAGGCAAAUGCCGCAAGAAAGACGCAGUUCCAUAGGCUGGGUCCAGGUGGCUACGCGAUGGCAUUGCCUAAGUGGGAUAAGUCUGAGCCAGAGAUGGAGGAUGCAGGGGUCACUCCGGUUACCCGGCACUGGCCCCCCAGGUGCAGAACUUGGUUCUAUGCGCAUGGGGGGCGUUGGACCCGAAGACAGGCCUGGUUUCGAAGAAGGCAAGUCUAAAAGGAGCCGAACAAAAGAUAAUUGACGCAAUAGAAGAAGCUCGAGCGGGGGUGUUCACGCCCAACAGAGAGAACGACGAGCUUACGCGCGCCCUGGGAAAUCCUGAACACCCGGGAAGAACACGAGGCAUGGGUGUUAUUCCCUGGUAUGAGGGCUUUUCGGACUGGAAUGACGACUACAGGUCCCAUGCAAGAAAGAAGAUGGAGGAAGAGAAGAAGAGGAAGCUGGAGGAGGAGCAGAGGAAGCAGGACGCAGAACUUCUUCAAGGCCUAGAAGCAAGGCAUGCGGACCUGGCACUCAAAUUCCAGCAGCAGCAGCAGCAGAUCGACUCACUUAGCCAGGAAAGGGGGUCUCAGCAGCGGCAGCAGCAAGCGGAUGAUCGUCCAGCAUUGGAUAGCACCAUCCCAUCCAUGCCGAGAAGCAGCGUUGGUUCUGCCCCGGGCGACACACUGCUGGAUACAUACCCUAUGGAUGACAUCAUAGAGAACACUAACUGUGAGCUAUACUCCAAAAUGAAGAACAUAUCCAUGAAGCUGGCGGACGGCGUUGCUUUUCCAGUUACCCCCGAAGCAACCUACCAUUGCAUCCCGAUUCCAGAGGGCUAUGCUCGUGUCAUGGUUGAUGAAGUGGUGGACCCAUAUUCGGGGCUAACGCUUGACAUUCCUGGAGGUGAAGACGAGCGCACACUUGGAGAGGCCAUACAUCGUAUCAUCCUAUGGAGAAAUGAUUGCAUAAUCUUUCGAAGUCCACCGACACCGCGUCAUCUGCCGACUCCUCGAAGUCCGCCACCGAGUCAGCAGACUCCCGCUCCUCCAAGUCCACGAACGCGUGAGACGACUCCUCCUCGAAGUCCGCCACCUCCUCCAAGUCCCCGAACGCGUGAGCUGACUCCUCCGGUUUCAAGCCCGGCACAGCGUCAUGCCACUUCUUCAGUUGCAAUUCCGGUACCGUCUCAGGCCACACCUCCUGCUUCAAGUCCGGCACAUCGUCAGGCCACUUCUCCUGGUCCAACUCCACGUCAGCCGUCUCUGCCGUCUCAGCAAUCGCAGAAGAGACAUCCCGCAGCUUUGGUGCGUAGCGGUACGAGUCGAGGUAGUUCAGGAAGUACAUGCGAACGCAAGCGAUAUAAAUAUGGUCCAAGCCUCGCUCCUCUUCCUCAGAGGCCUUACGACAUGACUAAGGAGCAAAACACAGCCAUAGUGCAAGCCCAAGUGGACGCGCAUUUUGGACCGAAACCGGCACCGCCGCCAAAGGAGAAAGUGCCUGAGAAAGUAAUUGACCACUUCAUUCGUAUGGCUAGAGAACCAGCUCCCAAGCCUGUUGACUCGGACUAUGAGCGCCAAAUCAGGAAGGCACAUCGAGCACGACUACAGAAGGAAGCGAGCUCAAGCUCGAGCCAACAAGCAGCUGGCAAAAAAUGCGGGAAAACCGUUUCCCAGUUGGGAGAACAGGCGGCGCAAGCGAUCUCCCCGCUUGUUGUGCCAACAACACAUGACAGGAGUAGUACACACGCCAAAUAUUAUUAUGGGCAAACCGUUAGCGUUCCCCAGCAUGGCGAUGUGGUAAUAACAGAGGAUCAUAUAAUGCGGGCUCAAAUGCUCAAUAUCUCUGUUGGACAACUCCUCGAAAUCGAGCCCAUGCCUAUGCUUAAAGAAUCGGAAAUAGCAUGACAAUAUGUCCGGGGCAAACCUUUGGUACAUCCAGACAAGGUCAAGGACCUCCCAACGAGAAUGUAUCAGUUGCAUCAAUGGUACAUGAACAUUACCAAGAUUUCCAAUCGAGAGUCCCUCAUGGUGAAUGUCAAGCAUGAGCAUUAUUACCAUGAGAAAACUCUGGCCAUUGAGUAUCCAGAACUAUUUCAGUUAUUUAAUCUAGACGCACUCGACAAGUCUAUCGUCAGUUGUUAUUGUCUGUAAGUGAUUUCUUUCUGUAAUUUAAGUCUCAAGCUAGUUAUGUAGUGAUAAUUUUGAUCAAUCAUUACAUGUAAUUAUCCUCACUAUAUUCUUUUUCUGUGGUAUUAUAUGCAGGAUGAAGAUGUAUGAAAUGAAAAAAGCUGGACGCUAUGGCGUUGGGUUCAUUGACCCAAAUACCAUUAAUCAGGACAUAUGGGAGAUUAAACAUUGUAAAGCUGCUGUAGAGGAAAGCAUGCUAGAGUUCUUGAAGCGCCUCAAUACCUUCGAAGAUAUACUACUUCCUUACAACUUCCCGUGAGUCAUACUGUCUUGUACUACAAAUUCUGUUUUUGCUUACUAGCUAGCUAGAUGUUAAUAAUUAAGUGUAUACGGUUUACGGUAGUUGAUUAAUUUUAUGCACAUGCCCACUUAAUUAAGACAUGCAAACGUGUGUGUAUGCAGUUGGCACUGGGUCUUGAUAGACAUUAAAGUUGAGGAAGGAAAAGUUGAAUUACUGGACUCACUAACUAAAGAAGAUAAAGACUACACCAUCGUGAAGGGGAUAGUCAACAGGUAAUUUCAAUCAUUAUUAACUAUUAGUUCCUGAUAUGAACUAUUUAAUAACCCCUUUAUUAAUUUUCUUUGCCGGCGGGCAGGGCAUGGGCAAAGUUCAUCGCGGUGACUCCAGGAGAAUGGAAAAAAAAUUGUUUUGGUAUCGACCCAAGGUAAGUAAUUAAGUAGUACUAGCUAGCUACUAUCUCUUUAAUUAUUGUUUCAAUAUCAUUAAUUAAUUAUUAUGCUUGAUUAAUCAUUAUUUGAUUCAAUUAGAUUCUCGUAAAGGCCCUGAGGCAGGCGAAAGGGAAUAAUCUGUGUGCAUACUACGUUUGCGAGAACAUUCGCAUGAUGACGUGCGAAAGGAGCAGAUCUGAUAGACAGGACUGGGUACGUUUUUGUCAUAACAAUAUUCAUACCAUUAUCGAUAUCUAGUCACACAACUAACACACAUGCAUAUUGAUCUCCUUCUUAACAGUUCAGAUCGGUGCGGGAUAAGCUCCUACCAUCAGACCGCAUACAAGCACUUCAAGAGGAAAUAGCCGGAUUUUUUCUCGACCAGGUCAUAGAUCCGAAAGGAGAAUACUAUUACCCGCUACCGCCCCAUGAACCACUUGUCAUCGUGCUCCGAAGGCACCAAGGCAACAUGUAGUAGAAAUUGUAUAUGUAUAUACAUGUGUAUAUGUGUGAAUAGUUAAUGGUGUUAGCUGUGAGANNNNNNNNNNNNNNNNNNNNNNNNNNNNNNNNNNNNNNNNNNNNNNNNNNNNNNNNNNNNNNNNNNNNNNNNNNNNNNNNNNNNNNNNNNNNNNNNNNNNNNNNNNNNNNNNNNNNNNNNNNNNNNNNNNNNNNNNNNNNNNNNNNNNNNNNNNNNNNNNNNNNNNNNNNNNNNNNNNNNNNNNNNNNNNNNNNNNNNNNNNNNNNNNNNNNNNNNNNNNNNNNNNNNNNNNNNNNNNNNNNNNNNNNNNNNNNNNNNNNNNNNNNNNNNNNNNNNNNNNNNNNNNNNNNNNNNNNNNNNNNNNNNNNNNNNNNNNNNNNNNNNNNNNNNNNNNNNNNNNNNNNNNNNNNNNNNNNNNNNNNNNNNNNNNNNNNNNNNNNNNNNNNNNNNNNNUAUGCGGUUCUACGUACGAGAAAAUCUAUUUAAUAUAUAUGCAUAACGUGUACAAUUUGUAGUAUCGUGAAAUACCAGCAAACAAAAAAAAUUAAAUGGAAAAUAAAGCCAAAUUGAAAACACAAAAUUAAAGCAAAAAUUAAAAAAAACACUCAAACAUUUAGUAUCGGUUGGUGUUACCAACCGGUACUAAUGUCCUACACGCACACGGGUCUGGCUCGUGUCACGUGUUUGCACUUUAGCGCCGGUUCGUGACGAACCGGUACUAGGGGGGGGGGCUUUAGUCCCCACUCUUUAGUGCCGGUUCGCCAACCGGCACUAAAGGCCGUCACGAACCGGCACUAAAGCCCGGUUCUGCACUAGUCUCCUGCUUUAUGAAAAGAUGCUAUUACUCUCUCGGAAUUCGCGGGCUUGAAGAAAAAGAAUUCAGAGGUCGGACAUGUGUUAUUUGAUUCAGAAUUCAUCAAAUGGAAACAGUUCAAUGAAAAUUCCUCUGUAUCCAAAAAAUGAUGUUAGAAACUGCCCUCACUCAGUUAUACUGGAACUAUGUUAGACAAACCUGCAGCCCCCAUCCUGCCGACCAUCACAGGCAAACAGGCUUCGAUAGCCAAACUGACGGCUUAGCAGGCGAAUUGAUAAACCACCGAACUGCUGGCUUGGCAGGCACCCUGGUUAACCAAAAAUCUUAGAACUGCAGCGAUAUUCUUGCAAGAGCAGAACUAGAAUGUAAUCACCAUCAUCUCCACAACCAGAUCUUCCAUCACCAACAUCUGAAGGGCUUCUCUGAAAAUAUAUUGCCACAACAUGAAUCAGCAAAAGAUUGGCGUUCACAUUAACAUCAAUAUUUAGGUAUGUUUGCUUAAGUUCUGAAAUACCUCAAAAUAAUAAUAACUUGAGAAAACAGUCACCAACAGGAUAGUAGAACACGGAAACUACAGCUUAUUAGUUUCGCCCCGCUUUAUAUUAUAAAGCAUACCACCCAAGUCAAGCAUCCAACAAGGUUCAACAAAACACACAAACACACGCACACGGAGGUCCACAAGAACACAUAGAAGUCAUAAGGGUUAAUGAUGAGGGCACAUCACAACAAGCCCUAAACACAAAACACACACUCCACAUAGCAACCAGACAGCCUAGUCCGGUUGUGGGGGAGGGGGCGGCAGCAGGGGCACCACGCGGAGAGCCGUCGAGCGGAGGUCAGCGAGGAGGGUGGUGAUGACGUCCCGGUCCUGGGGGCGGCUAAGUGGCCGCCAAAGCUGCAAGUAGCCACACAAUUUGAAGAUUGCAUCAGUCGCACGUCGGAGAGUCACUUUCUGAAUAACAAGCUUAUUGCGGAUGUUCCAAAGCGUCCAGGCGAGGACCCCAACGCACAGCCAUCUAAUAUGGCGGUAGCAAGGAGGGGAAGCGUUGAGCUCCGCAAGUAAGUCGGGGAAGUUGGUGUUGCACCACUGUCCACCGACCGUUUCGCCGAAGCAAGCCCACGGGAACUGGGCAAUGGAGCACGAGAAGAAGAUGUGGUUAGCAUCUUCGAUUGUGCCACAAAUGGGGCACAUCCCAUCGCCCGGACCGUUACGCUUGAGGACUUCAACCCCAGAGGGAAGAUGUCCAUGGAUCCAUUGCCACAAGAAAAUCCUGAUCUUCAGAGGUAGGUGGAUGUCCCAGAUCAGGUUAAAGGGCUCCGGGGCCGCCGAGGGAGCAAUGACGGCGUACAAGGACUUCGUGGAGAAGCGGCCAGCUGGCUCAAGGCGCCAGGAAAGGGAAUUCGAGGCCUCCUCGACGUUCAUCGGCAUAAGGGCGAUGUCCUGGAGGAGGGAGUCCCAAGCAGCCACCUCGUGGGGGCCGAAGGGGCGCCGGAAAGCGAGACGCCCUAAGUCAAUAAGGGCCGUCUCGACAGAGACCCGAGGGUCAGCCGCAAUAGCAAAUAGUUCUGAGAAUCGCGCAGCCAGGGGGGAGUCCCCUAACCAACGAUCGAACCAGAACAGGGUCGAGGAUCGGGAGCCAACCGAGAUGAACGUGCCAAUGCGGAGGACGGGUAGAAGCUGGAUCACGGACUGCCAGAACUGAGAUCCACCCGAACGCUGGCAGAAGGCAAGAGGUUGGCCCCUAAGGUACUUAUUACGGAUGAUGGUAAGCUAGAGGCCUCCGUCCCAAUUGGCGAUACGCCAAAGCCAGCGGGUCAGGAGAGCAAUGUUCAUGCGUCGAGAUGACAGGAUCCCAAGGCCACCCUAGUCUUUGGGUUUGCAAAUGUCUGGCCAGCUCACCAUAUGAUACUUCUGCUUGUCGCCCUCACCAGCCCAAAAAAACCUCGAGUGGUAUUUGGCAACCUCCUGGUGGAGGGUCUCAUGGAGGCCGUAGAAGCUCAUGAGAAACCAGAGAAGGCUAGCAAGCGAGGAGUUGAUGAGGAUUACCCUGGCUGCUUUCGACGACCACCUCCCCCUCCAGAGUUCAACCCAGUGCUGCAUCCUAGUAACAGUCGGGCGGAGGUCAGCUAAGGUGAGCCUGGAGUCACUAAUGGGUAUCCCCAAGUAAGUCGUGGGGAAGGAACCCAGGCGGCAGUUCAGCCGGUCCGCAAUGGACAAAGCCUCCUCCGGAGGAUAGCCAAGGACCAUCACUUCGCUCUUAUCAAAGUUGAUGGUGAGCCCAGACAUCUGUUGGAAACAUAGGAGGAGGAACUUUAGGUUGGCAAUGUCGGACGCGGAACCCUCCACCAUUACUAUGGUAUCGUCCGCAUAUUGAAGGAGGGAGACCCCUCCCCCUCCCACCAGGUGGGGGACUACGCCGCAGAUAUGGCCACAAGAUUUGGCCUUAUCAAGGAUGACCGCGAGGACAUCGACUACCAUGUUGAACAGAAACGGGGAGAACGGGUCACCUGGCGGACCCCACAUAGGGUGGGGAAGUAAGACACGAUCUCACCGUUAAUGUUAACCGCUAUCCGACCGCAGGUGACGAGUUGCAUAACUCGGGUCACCCACCGUUCCAUGACGAGUAAUUUGGAACGGAGGGAGUACAUCAUUUCUAAAUAUGAGGUGAAAUAAGAUGCAUCUGAAAAAUGACAAUUAAGUGGCUGGUGGCGAUCCCAUGCAUCUUUUAUAUGUGUUGUUUCUUACUGAUCCAGUGGCCUAGGACUGAAGUUUUCACUGGAUACUUUGGCAAUCUUCAGUGAAUAAAGGUAGGAAAGAUUAACUUUCAGAAAGUACAUAUCUGUGACGUAAAUAAAACACUUAGUACUGAUAAAAAAAAUGCUCAAUUAUCAUAUGAACGAACUCUGUCAAGAACACCAUGCUCCUGAAGUGCCACACGCACAGCAUUUCUCUAAAAUUACAUGCCAACUCUUGUCGAUUCCACUGCAGUAAAAAAUAUGUCAAAGGAAGAAAACCAAAACUUAACAUUUGUAUGAAACUAUGUACAGUGACUCCAUACAAAUGUGAUAGUAGCGGGAUGCCUGGAGGCGCAGUUCAAGGCACCGCUUCUCUAGUGGUGUGGACACGCAGGACAAUGGUGAAUGCAUGGAAAAUGUAGGGUACCUACACUGGCUGCUCCAUUGGUGUGUGUUAUGUACUACCUCCGUCCCAAAAUAAGUGUCUUAGUAUGCACAGUUACCUGAUGGGAGACUUGCAUUUUUUUCCUAGGAUUGGAGUUAAGAAACAUGGAGAUAGUGAUUAUCUCUACCAGGAGAAAUAUGCCACUGAUCUGGUAAGAAGAGUUCGGAUGCAGGGAUGUAAAUCAUCACCAACUUCAUUGUCUAGUACAGAAAAAUUGUCACAUCUAGAAGGAGAACCCUUGAGUCAAGAAGAUAAUACCAGAUAUAGAAGCUUAGUAGGAACACUUCAGUACUGAAAUUUAACAAGACCUGAUAUUUCUAUUGCUGUCAACAAGUGUCAGUUUCUUCAUGCACCCACCAAAACUCAUUGGACUGCUGCCAAACGCAUAGUGAGAUAUGAGAAAGAUACUAUGAAUCUUGGUAUUACUUUCAGCAAAUCUUCAUCUACUCUUGUUAGUGCAUUUUCUGACUCUGACUGGGAUGGAUGUCUAGAGGACAGACGCUCCACUGGUGGAUUUACAGUAUUAUUUGGACCAAAUUUGAUAUCAUGGUGUGCAAAGAAACAAGCCAACUGUGUCAUGGUCAAGUACAGAAGCUGAGUACAAGGCACUGGCAAAUUCCACAUCAGAGAUUAUUUGGGUUCAAUCCACGUUAAUAGAGCUUGGUGUGAAACACACUCAAGCCCCUUGUUUAUGGUGUUAUAAGCUUGGUGCUAACUAUCUAUCUGCUAACCCGGUAUUUCAUUCAAGGACAAAACAUAUUGAAAUGGAUUUCCAUUUUGUCAGAAAAAGAGUUGCUAACAUGCAAUUGGAAAUUCGUUUUGUGCAUUGAUCAUCUUGUAGAUGGGUUUACAAAAGCAUUGCCACAGGAAAUUUUGAGGAAUUUAAGUGUAAUCUCAACUUCACAAAGUUGUGAUUAAGAAAGGGUGUUGAACGAGACAUAUUGGCGCAAAUGCAUAUGUGACAAGGUUCGGCUGAUGAUCUCAUGGACUCCAAGUCUCCAACAGGAGAUAGACUAGUUAGUUUAAAUUCUUUGUUAUCUCUGUAACCUAAUAUAUCUCUAUAGUCUAUCCCUUUCUCCCCAAGAUUGUAAUGCAAACCAUCUAUACGCUAAACCAGGGAGUCGCACACCUGGCCAUAUAACAUGCAAUCGUCGCCUAGGGCUAGGGUAUGAUGUUUCCCCACAACCAUCACUCUAUGAAGAUUGACCUCGAAGGAAUUUGAAUCCUAAAGCAGUCCGGUUGGAUUUCUUUGUUGCGGAAAAGAUCCCAAUACCUCACAUGCCUAAUAAUAGCCAAUGGAGUGGCCUUCUUGUUAAAUUACUCUGGUAUCUCCAUGACAAACAUCAACCCACAUAGAAUGGUUGCUGGCUCGACAAGUGUUUGUUAUAUAUGUGUGCGGAAAAAGAGGAUGGACCCAUCUAUACAUUUAUGGCUUGAUUAUGAAAAAUUUGAGCUUUGUAAAAAGAGACUUACCUACUACUCCCUCCGUUUCUAAAUAUAAGAUGUUUUAGCUUUUUCUGAUUUACAUGUAUCUUGACAUGUUUUAGUGUGUAUGUCCACCCAUUUUGGUCUGUUCACAUCAAAAUAUCAAAAACAUCUUAUAUUUAGGAACGGAAGGGGUAGGAAGUAAGACAAGAAUAUAAUUUGGCUGUCCACUGAACAAGCUUUAUGUUACAAAAUAUAAACAUUGACAACAUAUUAAUAAGGAAUUUUGCAUAAAAAAGGAAACGUGUGCUGAUAAAGUUGGCUGGGGUUUCAUCAUCUCUGUAAUGAGCACUUAUUUCACCUCGGAUGCAAGUUUUGCUCUCGUCACGAUUUUUAUGUGUUGUUGGGCUCUUUCUCUCUUCAUCUUUCGUAACCCAAAAAACCUCCACAUUGCAGAACUCAGUAAAUUCUCUUGCUUUUCCCGCUUAAUGAAAAUAUGUGUGGAGUAUCUAAAAAGAAAGCGCAUGACUGAAGAAGAAAAAUCGAAGGUCAGAGAUGUGCCAUUUGACAUAGUGACUUCUUCAACCAAUGAAAUGAGUUCAAUCAAGGUGCCAACUCAAUCCCCCGUCUUCUAAAGUACUACCUCUGUAAACAUUUAUAAGACCUUUUAUGUCAAGUUUACAGAGGGAGUGCCGUUGUGCAGGAAAAGAAGCAAUAAUAGUCUAUAGUUUUGCUCAAGAAUGGACGAGAUCUUCCAAUUUGAUGCCAGAGCACACUACUACAUUCAUUCAGUUGUACCGAAAGUAUCUUAUACAAACCUACAACUAUCAACAAACUGCUGGCCUGGAUAAAUUCUAUUGCUUGACAAAAAGACUGUCGAAAAAGAUCAGAGGUCAGAAAUGCGUCAUUUGAUUCAGUGAUAUAUUUCAUCAAACGAAAUCAGUUCAAUGCAGGUGCCUCUUCAGUCACUAUUAUAUUCUAAGGUACCAUUGUGCAGGAAAACAAGCAGUAAUACUCUUGUUGGGCUUAAAAGUUGAUAAGAACUACUUUCAGUUUGAUGCCAGAACACACAACAGCAUUCAUUCAGUUAUACUGAAAGUAUCUUAUUGAAACCUGCAGCUCCCCUCCUUGCCACCUCACGGGCAAACAGGCUUUGAUCGCCAAAUUGCUGGCUUGGCAGGUGACUUGGUAAACCAAAAAUAUUAUAGUUGCAGUGAUGUUCUUGCAGGAGCAGAACUAGAACGUCGUCACUGUCAUUUCUACAACCGGACCUUCAUCAACAACAACUCAAGGGUUUCUCUGAAAAUAUAUUGCCACAGCAUGAAUCAGCCAAAGAGUGGUGCUCACAUAUGGUGCUCACAUAUAUACGAAUAUAUUUAAAAUGAUAAAGUAGUAUAUAUAGUACUACAUGGUAGUAUAUGAGACAUAUGGUGUAACUACCACCGGGUGGUAGGAUGGAUUUUCCAUAUAUAUAUAUAUAUAUAUAAGAGGGUCAUCCCAAUUAAUUAAUUUAUCUUAACAUGCAAGCAUGCUACCUCACCAUACGAUUAUGAGGGAUAAAUAAGACCCACCUCAACAUGUAAUCAUGCAUGUGAAAAGACCCACCACUAUCAUUCAACCAUGCAUAGGAAAAAGUUUUCAUCUAAUUAUUGUAUUCGUAUUCAAUAAAUAUUGUUACAACUAUACAUAAUCAAAUAUAAUAAGUCAUAUCUAUUUUUGAUUUUGAUUCUAAUGUUAUCAACCUAAAUUUCUAUCAACCAAUUCCCACAGCAACGCGCGGGAUAUCCUCUAGUUAGCAUGAACAUUUAGGUAUCUCAUUUCUAUAUACAAAAUCUUUAAUGAACAAACCUAUCACCAAAAUAGUAGAACCGAAAAAAUAUUAGCUUUCAAAAAUUACUAAUAUUCGUCUAAGAAUACUCAAUUUCACAUGAAUGAAACCAACCUUCAAAGCUGAAGUCACCUAGGACAUGUUGAGAAACACAACCAAAGUCUAGAAACCACUCCGGAUCAGUCCUACGAGCAGCAAUUGUGGCAUUAUCAGUGCCGUCUCCAUUGGUAUAGAUAAAGAGGGCCAAAUUUGUCCUCUCCUCCUCGAUAGCUGAUACGUCUCCUUCAUAACUAUAAUUUUUUAUUGUUCCAUUCCAAUAUUAUACAACUUUUAUAUACCGUUGACAAUAUUUUAUACUAUUUUUUGAGACCAUAUUGAUUCAGUGCCCAGUGCCAGUUCCUGUUUGUUGCAUGCUUUUUGUUUCGCGGAAUAUCCAUAUCAAACGAAGUCCAAACACGAUAAAAAUUUACGGAGAAUUAUUUUGGAAUAUAUGAUUUUUGGGAGGUGGAAUCAACGCAAACGGAGGCCCACGACCAACACAAGACACCAGGGCGCCCCCCCCCCACCCUGGAGCGCACUGGUACCUUGUGGGCACCCCGUAAGUUGGUUGGGGCUCUACUUUGGACGCAAGGAAGCUUAUAUCCAGAAAAAAAAAUGUGUUAAAAUCUCAACGCAAUCGGGCAGAUAUCCAGGAACUUAAGAAACGGUAAAGGGCCAGAAAAUAGGAACACGAAACAGAAGAGCUCUCCCACCAUGGAGGCCAUGGACCAGAGGGGGAACCCUCCUUCCAUCUAGGGGGAGGCCAAGGAAGAAGAAUGAGGGGGGGCUCUCUCUCCCUCUCUCCCGGUUUGCAUCCUUUUGGUUUUGUAGGUUCACCCUUGUAAAUUUGUGUGCCUUAUUGGCAGUGGCGGAGCUACAUGCAGUCCUGGGGUGGCCACUGCCCCCCCAGCCUUGGCCUAAUCACUGAAGGAAUUUUUUUGAAGGGUUAAAUCAAGGAAAGUUUAGCCAUUUGGCCCCCCCAAAUAUGUGUAUUUCUUGUUUGGCCCCCGCUGAGAUCUUUUGCUAGCUCUGCCACUGCUUAUUGCCGUUCUUCUAAUACAAACAACACACAUUUUGUGUUUGUCGAGAUAAACCAAUCUAUGGAGAUUGGUUCCUAUAUAUUCUGUCUCAACCUUAGUAGUUUAGUCUCUUUUCCCUCCUCUAAAGAAGCUUUUGUACAAAACUAUCCUCUGGCCAGUAUGUACCAUGUUAUGAUCACAUCGUUACGAUCUAAGGGACUAUAUUAGCUCUGCUAGGACCAAACAGUAAACUUUACGGCUUUGUUUGGAUACAAAGUUUUAGCAGUAAUAGUUUUCCGUAGACUCGCAUAACCGCCUAACAAACUAAAACCAUGUUUGGGCUUUCCACCAAAAACAUGGAUAAGCAGGAUCUGGUUUCCACAAAACCAGAAAUCUGUGUUUCGUGAAAAACGACUAAUAGUUAUUUUUGAGAAAACACGAUUGUACAAACCCACCGCAACUGAUUUUUUCCAGUUCCACUUAUUUCGCAACAAAUCCAUUAGCGCUGAUUUUACAGUCAUCAGGAGCUUGGAUGGCCGGCGUGCAUGCAAAUUGACCUUGAGCAACAGCUCUCUACCGUCGGCAUGUGCGUCGAUGGAAGCGGAUGUCGCCGUCCACGCGGGCCUAGUGGAAGCGUUCACUAUUGUGCGCGUGCCGUGCUGGUGAGGGGAAUUAGUCACUGCCGUGCAUGUACGCCGGAGUUGUCAAGAAGAAGUGGUCGAUGCCGUCGUCCGCGCGCGGCGAGUCGUCGAGGGAAAGCGGCUGCUGACAUGCGCUCAAGCCGAGUCCCCAGAUGGAAGAUGUUGCCGUUGUCCGCAACCAGCAGCUGAGCUCACCAAACAUAGUUUUCUAUAAGUAAACUUGUUAUUCACAAAAUAGUAGAUAAAACUAGUUUUCCUAGAAGUCAGAUAAAAACACAUUUUCUAUAAUCUUAUCGCUAAUCUUCUUUAUCCAAAAAACCACUAUGAUCGUAUAUAAUUAACUUCAGAUGCGACUAAGAAUAGUAUAAAACUAUAUAUAGGUAUUUGCUUUGCAAUAAUAUGUGUGAUUCAUAAUUUCAAAUUAAGCAUAUCCUGGCAAUAGUGGGUGCUUCAGCAGAUGCACAAGUCAAAUCAAAAUGUUCAUCCUCAACUUGUAUGUACACAAAACUUUAGGAUGAAUAUUGUGGAUUCAAGUUCAUGUUUAUUCUUCUGUAACAUAAAGUGUAAUAGUUUUCUUGUCAAGUUUUCAUUUCUUGUUGGAACUCUUAUUACCUAGAGUAAACAUACAUGGUACAUGCUUUGCUUAGUUAUGUUCAAUAGGAACAUAAUAAUAUCACUUAACUAUGCUUGUUUACGGUUAGACUUAAAAAUCAUGAGCCUGAAGGUUCCUCGUCAACCGAGUCAUCAAGUGCGAUGAUUGUAUAAAUUUUCUGUGGAUAUGUGAUGUGUCAUGUUCUCCACUCUCCCUACUCACUUCUACGAAUAAUCCGAGGGAGUGGUUCCCUUUCCUUACCCUUAUUAUAAAUGCACCACCCAUAGUUGGACUAUUUUACAUUGACUGUUAUGUGUCCACACUAUCAUUGACUCCUAUUCUUUAUGGUGUACCAUGUAGUAGACGCAUCGAUUUAGUUUCUUUACUCACAAGGUAUUUGUGCAACAUAGAGCAAUGCAGUAGAGGCUAUAUAUAUACACUUAAGAAUACUACAUCCUUGUUCAAUAGUAUGCGCUUUCUAUUGUUAAAGGUAUGUAGUUCAAGGGCUCAAGAGUGAGCCGGGAAGAGGAAGAGAGAGUCUCUAAGAGCAUUGGGAAUAUGAUCAUGGAGGAAAGUCUGGAGCUUGAUUUCUCCUCCAGUAUCGGAGGUAGAGAUUUGCUUUAUGUUUUCCCGAUGCCUCCUAUUCCUAUCGAUCUUAGGUACGCCUUCCUCUUGCCACUGGCUUACCCAAAUAUUUUGACAGGAGAAGGUGGAAAGUAAAAACUGCAUAGGAUGUUUCAGAUGAUAAAGUGGUGGAAGUCAGUCGGCAAGAGGAAGAAAACAGGGACGAGAGCGGUGGUCAUGGGAACAUGGAGGACAGCAAAACUCUUUCCUCUAGAAAUAGGGGCUGAAAUUUGUUCCCCUUCUCCCCGAUCUCAUGCCUAUUGUUCUCUGGUCUUCCACUUCCUUUCGACUUGUGCAAUAUUGAAGACAACAAAAGAUGUAAAAUCAUAUGCUUGGAUAAAUAUGGCUUUGAGGGUGAGUCGGGAAGAUGAAAAACAUAGGGUCUACAAGCAGAAAACAAGCAACCAUGUUAACAAAGGAAAACAUAAAAAUUCCAUAGAAAAAUAGAGGAUAAGGCUUCAUUCUAUCCUCUUAUUUUCUUGCACAAUUUCCUUGCCGGUCAAAAAAUGGACAACUUCAUGGUUUAAUUGGUCUUUGUGGCUUGCAUCAUUUCUUGGUCCAUUAAUUUGAACCUUCAACAUUUAGUUGGUUGUCGCUCUUUACAAUAUGGAAGUACUAGGUGUUGAUUAUUCAUUGGCAUGUAUGAAGUCCUGCAUAUACUAUUCCUAGAUCAAUAACUUGAGUUAUGAGCUAACAACUUAAUAUGGAACGGAGGGAGUAUUAACCAGUGGGGAGAAUAGCUCAUGAAGGGUGACGCCCUAUCUUUGUAAGAUAUGAAAUAGUGAAAUAAAUUACCUGAACCUAUAGGAAUUUCUUGUCAUAGAGUAUUUUUUUAAAACUGCAAAUAGUUAUGUGCGAAAAUAAAAGAUAGUCAGCUAUAAUGAGAUAAAAAAAGGUCAUAAUGUAUUUGCAGUUAGCAAAUAUGUAAGUUCUAAUGUUUACUGUGAGAUGAUAAAUUCAGAAGGAUUACAGAUUACUCCUCAAAGGUGCAAAAGGUACUUCGGUAGAAGAAGUUCAGCAUUAAUCACCAUUGUAAACUAGUGUGCUUCCUACGCAAUGUGAAAAUUGGCACAUGAUAAAUGCACAAAAAAGAAUACGGGUAGGUUAUUCUGACAUUGAUACGCGAGAGCUACUUGAUUAUAAGACAGCUAGUGUGAUACACAUGCUCUAAGCAAGACUUGGAACAUACCGUGAAAGGGAAUGUGAAAACAUAACAUGAACAUGUAAGAAUUGUAAUAUUUAGGAUAACUAGAGUGACUUGGAGGUUGAAUCCUGGUGAAUUAGUUCUGCUAUUUGUAUGUGUUUAUCGAGGCUCUCACCGGCGAUUCGUCGGCUUCUGUGAUGAAAAGGUAGAGGCGAGGCGAGGGAAGGUGGAGAAGAGCGGAGCGCGGCUUCGAGGGGAGGGGAGCGCGGCGAUGCGGCGAGCAGAGAGGGAGAAGAGAGAUAGCGGUGAGAGAAAUGAGCUCGAGCAUAGAGGUUCGCAGAGAGGGCAGAGAGAAUGGCCUAGCAGAGAGUGAAGAGGCUCAAGGGCUUGUUUGCAAAAAUAUCUGUCGCUACACUUUUUUCGGAUCGGAGGGAGUACUUUUUUGAAAGAACACAUUGUCUUCCAUUACCAUGAUACGCUGGCUAAAUUGCCAAUUAUGGUGUUCAUUGUAAACGGCCUAGCCAACUCUCACAAUUAUCAUUCCUCAGUUUGAAUCCAUGCGCAGCUGAAGUGUGCGCUGCAUAAUUACAGGACCUCAGACAUGCAUUCAGUUUUACUACAUCAAAAGUAACAUACAGCUAAUACUCCCUCCGCCCGGAAUUACUUGUCGCAAAAAUUGAUAAAAAUGGAUGUAUCUGUAACAAAAAUAUGUCUAGAUACAUCCAUUUCUCCGAUAAGUAAUUCCGGACUGAGGUAGCUUGAAAAACAUUCUUAUAUUAUGGGACGGGUGGAGUAGCUCCUAAUGGCUUAGCGCUAGACUAUAAUCUGAUUUCCUGACAAACGAAGCUGGAGUACCUAGUACUGCCAUCAACCGAGGUCUUGGCAAGUGCGGGGUGGAUUGAUGCCAUCUGAUCUUUCAGAGAGGAAGCUGGGUUUGUAGUGUUUUGGUGCUCUGGCUGUUAUCAUGUAAUUCCUGGAAUGAGCUGCAGCGAGCUGUGUUGUGCGUUGCCAAGAGAAAACUGUGAGAAAAACUGUGAACUUUGGUUUCAUUUUGAUAAUGUAACAGUAGGGGCUUUGUUGCCCUCCUGAUGAUCUACUCCUCUAUUCCUAAAUACAAGAUGUUUUAGCUUUUUUCAGAUUCACAUGCAUCCAGUUCGGUCCGUAUUUAGUCCACCUCAAAAUAUCUAACACAUUUUAUAAUUAGGAACGGAGGGAGUAAUAUAAAAUGGUGCUAGACUGUAAUCUUCACUCUAGAGUCAGGACCGACAAUGGAGCACACUUUGAAGAUGACAAGGUUGCAUCCCAUCAGCGCUGAUGUGUUGAUUGCAUAUAGCAUUGCAGAUGCUUCUGCGGGUAUAGAAUUAGAGAUAUGUGCUUCUCUACCCGGCAGUGGGGCACUAAAGGGAAAUCUGGAUUUGCACACAUCUAUGUGCACAUAACCCUUAUGAGAAACUGGACCAUCACUCUACGAAGCUUGAUCUCGCUCGAGUCUGGAUACUUCGUAUUCUCCAUAUUCUUAUCGAACUGAUCCUAAUGCCUCGCAUGCCCAACGACUGCCAAUGAUGUGGCCUUGUUCCUAGAUGAUUCAGCAUGGUAACUGCAUGAAAAUUAUCAAGUCACCCAUACUGGCUGCUCCAUUGGUGUGUGCUAUACUGCUAUUGCUAUGUAUAUGGGCUGAAAACAGGACUAGUCCUCCCUUAUAUUUACGAGUUCAUCGUGCACAAUUACCUAAUGGUCAACCUCUACCACGGUGUCCUGCGUGUCAGCGUGGUGAAUCAGUUAGCAACAAGGUCGGUCCAUUGGUGUGUGUUAUGUACAUGGACUUAAAACAAGAUCGGUCCUACCUUACAUUUAUGAUACAUUAUACACAAUUACCCGAUGAUUCACCUACCACUGUAGUUCACUUUAUCAUAGUUACCCCAUUAAGAGAAGAUACUUGGAAUGUAGGGAAAGGAGAUGAGUGGAGGCCACAACGAUACAAAAAUGAACAUAUCUUUUGGUUUUCGCAAACAUGGCCGAACAGCAACCAUGAUAAGAAGUGGUAAUCAUGUAUACAACAAAUAUAUGGCCGAGCACAAAUAGAAAAUAAAUGGAAGUUCAGUGUCAUGUCUUGUGGAUUCUACUGAAAUGGGACUACAACUCGGAAAACGAUGAAAUAAGCCAGGAAAAGGAUUACAAAUUUGUAGAAAGAACUCCCUUAAACAAACUACAUCAGCAGCGCUGCCAUGAGGCAAAAUAAACGUUUGCUAGUUUUGCUAGUAACCACCAUCAUUUUUUGCUGCUCCGCUGAAAUUCAAAAUGGAGUGUGCCAGGCCUGACUCAGUUGACAACAGUCGUUAAGCAUGCGCCAGAUCCUCCAAUGGUGAGGAUAAUCAAGAAGUUCCUCACUGACGACAGAUCAUGCCGGAAUUAGCCUAAUGAAACCACAUACAUCUAACCUCUUCUUGAGACCUGACUCUACUAAUGGACACCUGAGAUCUCUUUAUACUAAGUUACUAACAGACACCACUUGUGAAGGUGGACUGAAGCAUGCCAGUGCUCAAUAUAUUUAGCAUUACAAACAUGGUCAAAUCUCUCGAGGUUUGUCAUAUUCUACCAAAACCAUGGAAUCCCAUCUCAUAUCAUAGUUUCCUUCAUAUAUGUCAACUGUAGGUUGGGGCUGGACUACUGGCUGCCGGCGACCUGGGCGUAUCGACUGUGGCGGCGGGUGAACAACGGGCGGCGUGGGGCGUUUUCAUUGUCUAGCAGGGUAAAGGGUAAAGGUGGGUUCAGAUGGGACAACCCGGUUAAUUUUUUUUGCUGUCGAACGGAAACCCACUAAAGUAUCUAGGUGGGAUGGGCUGAUUAGUCCCGCUUAUCUUGUCCCACGCUUCUCUUGAUUCCUGCAACCUGAAUUGUGAACAAAAGCAACACUCUCGACAAAACCAUCACACUGUGGACUUUGACCUCACAGGAAUUUGAAUCGCACAACUGCAGAAGUGCUCAUCUUUGGUACGGAAAAGAUCCCAAUGCCUCACAUGCCUAACGAUGGCCAAUGUCGUGGCCUUCUUCCUAAAUGAUUGGUGUGUCCUGUCUCCAUGAAAAGCAUAAGCCCACAUAGACUGGUUGCUUGUUUGCUAUUUAUUUCGGCAGAAAAAGAGGAUAAGACGGUGUCAUAAAUUUAUGAUUUGAUUAUGCAAAACUAUUCAUCGAUUAUUCAGUGAUUCACCUACUGCUCUACUUCAUCUUCAUCACUCCAUUCAAAAGUAAAUGAGAUGAAAAAUGUGACCUUUUUAAAGUAAGUCAAGAAUAUAAUCUCAGCUGUCCAUCUAUCAAGGUUAUGUUAGAAAAUGUAAACAUUAAAAUAUAUUAAUUAAGAAUUUUGCACAAAAAGGAAUCGUGUACAGAUAAAGGUGGCUAUGGUUUCAUCUCUGUCAUGAGCAUCUUAUUUCACCUUCGAUGCAAGUUCUCAUGAUAUGUCAUUAGCUAAGGUAUGGGGUGGGUAGAGCAAUCCCCCUACCCGACGGGUACCCAUACCCAUUGGGUACCCAAUAGGUAGAUCAAAUAAUAUGCAAUUUGUUCGCAAUUUUACAUUCAUCCAUAUCACAUUUGACUAAAAAAAAUUGAUCUCAACUCGAUAAUAGAUAGAUCAGUACAUGUCAAUUAUCGAUUCAAAUUGACAACCAGUGAUAGCUUUAACAUAGGUUCACAAGCUCACGAGAGGUUCACAAGCUCACGAUACAACUUUAACAUAGGUACACUUGUGAAUCACAGAUAAGGUUCACAUGUAAGUAUAAACGGGUGGGGUAUGGGUAUAUCCAUGUGUAAAAGACUAAUACCCGUGCCCUACCCAUGACUUAACGGGUAGGGUAUGGAUACUACCCGCGGACACAAAAUUGUUCUCAUACCCUGCCCAUGUGUGUACGUUAUCCGCGGGUACCCGUACCCAUGGUUAAAAUUGUCAUCCUUAAGCUCCUGCUCUAUUCAUGAUUUUUUGCGUGUUGAGCUGUUGGUUAGACCUAUUUUUGGUUGGGCUCUUUCACUCUUCAUCUUUCGUAAUGCAAAAGGCCUUCAUGUGGCAGAACUAGCAAAUCUACCUUAUUUCUUGCUUAAUGAACAGAUGCUCAAAGUAUCAGAGGUCAGACAUGUGCCAUUUGAUUCAGUGAGUUAUUUCAAUCAAUUGUCCAAAAUAACACAACAAUGUUCUAUUAACCUAACAUUGCGAAAGGGAAGCACUGGCAAAUCAAUCGAAUUACAAAGCUAGUGCCGUCUAAUUUCAGGAAAACGAGAGGGAAGUUUAAAACAGAGCUAAAGUGUUCUCCAAAAUAAAACAAAAUGUUCUAUUAAGCAACAUUACAAAAGGGAGCAUUUGCAAACCAGUCGAAUUUCACAAGAUGUUUUCUGUAGUUUGCUAGUUUCUUAUAUAGUCAUUGCUAGUUAUGGAGCCAUUCCUGACAGAAAACAUACGUAUGCAAUAUCUUGAGCUGUGACAAAAAACAUUCAAUUAACCAUUUGAAUUUCACGAAUAGUUUGACAGUUUUUUUCUUUUUAUACGGUCUUUAUUAUCGAAGAGGGUUUUCGCCCAGUUUUAUAUAUAAAGCAACGACCAAUAACAAGCCGGUACAAACACACGCCACCACAACACACGCACACAUCCAAGGAAAGAUACAUAGACGCUGAGCGCAACAACACUACCCCAAACUCUACAAUAGCAGUCGGGUCCUCGAACAUGAACAUGUCACCGCGAAGAGAUGAAGCUGCAUACGACGAACCGUGGGCUCCAAGGCGGCGCCUUCAGGAAGGAUACGACACCGGAGCGCCGCCACCGCCCGAUCCGAGGGUCAGAGUUUCCCCUGGAGCAACACGACGGGCAAUGAUGGCCGCGACGACGCCUUCCAAAAGGGAACGAGCUUCGCCGCCGCCGGUCCGUCCGUAGAUAGAACAGGUUUUCACCCCGGCCAAUACUCACCGCCAUCGAACGCCACACCCCGGCGACCAUGCCGCCCACACGGCUAUGGUCAUCGGGCAGCACCAAGCCACGGGCUUUGCCCAAUAGCACCGCGACACCACCACCAGGGCCGCUGCCCCGGCAUCCAAGACCUCGACGCCACCUCACUCGCCACCCACCGUUACCCGAGCCAAAGAGAUGAGUGGAAAGGCCCCGCCUUUAGCACCCCUGAGCUGCCCCAACGCCGACACCUAAUAGGCCGGCCAAAACUGGCCUCCAUCGGCCCGUCCUGCUGCUGGGCGCGAGACGAGCUUGGUCCUACAGCCGGACGCGAGACGAGUCCGGUCCUGCUGCCGGGCGCGAGACGAGCGCAGUCCUGCUACCAGGUGCAAGACGAGUCAUGUCCUGGAGAGUAAUUUCCUGGGCUUUCAUCUAACAUCGCUCACGCACCCCUCAAAAAAAAAAAUCUAACAUCGCUCACGCUGAUAUAAAAUAAAAAUAAACCUACAGUCCCUUUUACUAGGGCCGCCGCACUUCGUCUUCCCCACCACACUUCAUUUGCAGAUCCCCUUUCUUCCCCAGUUUCAACAUCCCUCUCCAUUUUGGCAUUUUUGCUCAUCCGAUGUCUGUCUACACUCUACAGAUCAUCGUCCUCCGCUGCUCAGCACCUGGAGCUCCACCCCCUCAUCCCGCGCACAUUCUCCGGUGCAGACAUGGUAACCUCCCGGGGUAGGCCGCGGAUUUUUUGAGCUUACGCACCCGGGUCACCCUAUCCUGGCUCUUGGCUCGUGGCACAGCAGUUAGGCCUGCUGCUCUGAACCGAUUACCGUGGCAGAAUGUGUUACGGUCGCUGGUCUGGUAGGGUCGCGUAUGGGUUCUAAUCGAGCAUAGGCUCUGUGUACGUUUGUUCUUUUCUGCCACCAGAAUAUGGACGCACACCCGUGACUCUGACGCCGCAUAAGGGCAUCUCCAGCCGUUCGGCCCCUCAGGGCGUCUAUAUAGAGCGGCCUGGAGCGUGCCGGUGCUAGUUCGGCCUCUGAGGGCGACCUAGCUCCCAGUCACGCCCCCACGCGCCGGUUUCAGGAUGCGGGAAAUUCAAACUUGGUCGUUCACGCUCUCAAAAGACGCCGCAAAUCCGGCGAUCGGACGUAGUCUGGCGUUACAAAAAACAGAGCGCGGCCGUGCGCAACGAUUCACUCGGCGGGGUCGGCUCCAGGCGUUGGCGGAGUCGGCGUGCGCGGGCUCGUCGGUGUCGGAGUUGCUUCGGUGCAGGGCUGCGUCGGCGCGGCUUCGGCACUGCUGGGCGGCGAUGUAGAGGCGUCGUUCGGGCUUGGCGUCCGUGUGGUCGUGGGCGUCGUCGGCGUCGUCGGCGUUGCCGUCGGCAGCUUGUUCAGGAUGAGGCCGCGCUGCACCAGGUAUCACGCCUUGAGCUUUUCGUCGUUGCUCUGGAGCAUGUCCGCCCCGCUCAUCAGAAAAGCCAUGUCGGUGUUCCUCUUCUUCGCGGCAACGUUCGUCCGGAGCAGGUCGAGCUUGAUGGCGUUGUUCUUCAUUAGCGACGACCACCGCGCCUCGGUCUUCUCUUCGCGUAGGACGGCCCGGGCCUGGGCGUGGGCGAGGCAAUGCUCGAUGGACUACUGCACUCGCGCGGUUGCCGCGUCGGCGUUUUUCCCCUUCUUUGCCAAUUUGUGGCCGUCCGGCCGUCCCUUUGACGCGCCCGGAGUCGUCACGUCUGGCUUGUAUGUCUCCUUGCCCUUGUCGAGGGCACGUCGGACUUCCGCCCACUUCUCGCACUUGUCAAUGCGCUUGUAGACGUGGAGGUGCUUGAAGUCGGCGUCUUGGUUGUCGCCCCAAUACAUGGCGAACAUACGCAGCUGCUGCACGGAGGGACAAACAGUUGGUGGGCGGCGGGCGUAGGGGACGAAGAUAUGCGGGCGAACGACAUGCGUACCUGAUCCUCAAUGCUGGCGCCGCUCUUCGGGCGAGCCGCGACCUCCUCGACGAUUCCAUGCCAUUUGUUGCAUGCCAACUGGAUACGCCCCCAAUGGUUCGCUAUCGCCUUGGAGCCGCGCUGCAUGUAGACGCCUUUGAAGUAGGGGUCGACAAGCUUCCGCUCGUCGAACUCGGCCUUGAUGCGGUCCCAGUACGUGUCCAAGCUCUGGUUCGCGCCGGUGGUCGGGUCAAGGCAGACGACUUUCCAUGCUUCGGCGAGGCAUUCCUCCUCCUUGGACGUCCACUUGAUGCGCGGUUCGCCUGACCUAGCCGCCCGCUUCUUCUUCUUCUGGUGCCCCUUCGUCGGAACAGGAGCCGGCUCCUCGUCCUCCUCCUCCUCGGGUUCCUGCGCGUCGUCGCCGUAGACGUAGCCGAGCUCAGCCUCCAUGUCGCCGCUGAGGUCCACUACCUCGUCUUGGGUGGCGAACCCGGGAGACGUGGCGGCCGCGGUCGAUCCUGUCGCGAUGAUGUCGUCCAUGUCGGCUCCCGUGUCGUCGGCGUCGCCGAGGUGCGAGAAGGGCAGCGGUCCGCGGUAGAGAUGGGGCGUCAGUGUGGACGCGUAGGCGGCGGGCGGCGAGUAGUCGUAUGGACGGUACUGCACGCCGACGAAGGCGGGCGAGGGCGUGCGCGUAGCAGGAUGACCAUGAGGGAAGGUCACGUUUGGGUUGAACCCACCGUGCGCGUCGCCGUCGGCGUAGCCGGGCGACGAUGAACCCCAUGGAGAUCCGGCGCCUUGCUGUCCCCAGGGCGCGUACUGGGCGUGGCUAACGACGGGCGGAUUCAUCCCCGCCUGGUCGACCGAUGAGGAAGACGCCGCCGCGCGCGCUGCGUUGUCGCGGGCCUUCUUGGCUAUGGCCCUGUUCCGCCUGUCGGCGGUGACUGCUUCGCGCCGCUGAACUUCCACCCUCCACUCGACGUUCGACAGGCCCGGUGGCUUCGAUGGUGGCGCCCUCGGCUUCCUCUGCUUCGGCUGGGACACGGCGCCAGUCGCGGUUGCCGCCGCGCGCCGCAUGGCGUACUUCUUCGGCGGCAUGGCGUGCUUCUUCGCGGCGAGCGGGAGGGGGUUUGGCGGGAGAAAGGGAGAGAAUGGCGGGAGGAAGGCGAGCGAGCGGGAGAGACGCGAGGGAAAAGCGUCAAGAAACGGCGGGAAAAGGCCCUCGGGUCGCUUCCAGGGCGGGCCCACGCGCCUUUUUCGCUUGUGCCGGCUCCCCAAGCGCCCCCUAGGGCGUCGGGUUCGGUCUGGAUCCGCCGACAUCAGUUUUGGCCCGAGCCGGCGAAAAACGGGCUUCUGGGGACGCGACUGGUGCCUUUUUUUUACGCCGGCGCGGCAAAAUCGCCUGGCCGGGAGGGCCUGUUGGGGACGCGGCUGGAGAUGCCCUAACACUUCUUCCUCCCAAGCCACCAUAUCUAAUCUCCUCCUCGAGUCGUCCGAUGGGAAACGCCAUAGCAUCCGUCCGGCCGCGGCGUCGCAAGAUCUGGUACUGACCCGCUUUUGCAACAUGUACACCGUAUCCUUCCUGUUUCAAGCUUAUCUGAUUUUUUCGCCUGAUCUUCUCUUCUCUCCUCGCAGUCGCAGCUUCAUUUUGAUGGCUGCCUUAGAUGCCAGAUCGGAGACAGCCUGCCGAGGUCCGAGCGCUACAUGCUGUUCAAAGGCGUGGGCGUAAUCGUGCCCGGGAAGGCCCCGCGAGUCGUUCGGCACUGGCGGUGAUUACACAUGCAAGGUUCAGCUGAGGGAGGAUGCCAGUCGAAUGGUUCUGCAAAACGGGUGGGUUAUGUUCGUUUCUGUUCAUUGUUUGCAGGUUGGCGACAAGCUCCUUCCUCUCGCUAAAUAAAACAUGGACCUGGUACAUGAUGCGGCUUUGGAUCACACAUGUGCCUGGCUCAUCAUCGAUGGAUCACACAUCUAUCCUCUCCCAAAACAAAACACAGACCUCGUACAUGACGCAUACAAAUUAGAGUACAAGUCAAAGACGAUUUUGUGCCGUGGAUAUGUGCAGUUUGAAAUAGUACAUAUAGCAUGUGAGUACGCCGGAAAGAGGUGAAAACGUCCGCAUGCAUUUGGUCUUAUCCGGUGUGCCCAGCGGUCAGAGGAAACAGUGCCCUGAGUAUGAACAGUUCCUCUAGCGGCCUCGCUGCGGGCCACCAGUGCCUGACCCUGUAAUCCCCUGGAAAAGUAACGGGCAAUGGCAUUUUACGGACCGGGCUGACUCAGAUCCCUAGGAGCAUGGACGCUCAGGAUAAGAGGGAUAAGAGUACCGGGGUGCAUAAGCUCUCUUGAAUGAUUUCGUCCCGGGGUAGCAGCCACCACCUGCACCGGAUGGAUCCGGCUGCUCCAAGCUGUUGGUGGCCGCGCUCCCUCAAACGGAACACCCACAGCUCGACCAGUAGAGUGAGCACCAAACUAGCGAGCGGAGACGGGAACGUGCAUACAUGAUUUCGAGUCCAUCUGGGCUCGGGCACCGUUUAGCCGCUUCCGAAAAAUGUGAGCUUUUUUAACAAGACUUACCACCUAUUUUAGGAAGUAAAAACAAGAAUAUUAUCUUAGCCGUCCAUCGACAAUGUAAACAAGAGUGUGCUGAUAAAGUUUGUUGGGGUUUCAUCUCUGUAAUAAUAAGCAUCUUAUUUCACCUCAGAUGCAAGUUCUCAUGAUAUGUUAUUAGCUCCUGCUCAUGUCAAGAUUUUUUUAUGUGUUGGUUAGGUGCACUUCUGAUUGUGCUCUUUCCCACUUCAUGUUUCAUAAUGCCAAAAGCCUCAACAUGGCAGAACUCGGUAAAUUCUCUCGUCUUCUUACCGAAAAUAUGAACCGAGUAUCUAAACAUCUCUAAACAGAAAGCACAUGACUGAAGAAAAAGAAAUCAGAGGUCAGACAUGUGAUAGUUGAUUCAGUGAGUUAUUUCAUCAAAUGAAAUCAGUUCAAUGAAGGUGCCCCUUCAAUCCGGUAUCUUCGGAACUACCAUUGUGCAUGAAAAAACAAACAGUUAUGCUCUUAUAUUUGGCUUAAAAGUUAAAAACUCCUUCCAGUUAUGCUCUUAUACCGAAAGUACCUUUAUACAAACCUGCAGCUCCCCCACACCCGACCUUCACAGGGAAACAGGCUUCGAUAACUGCUGGCUUGGCAGGUGACCUGAUAAACCUAUAAUCUUAAGAGUUUGAGCAACUUUUCUUCCAGCAGUGGGACCAGAACAUCAUCACUAUCGGCUCCACAACCGGAUCUUCAUCACCAGCAUCUCAAGGAUUCCUCUGAAAAUAUAUCGUCACAUCAUAGAUCAGCCAAACGAUGGCGCAAAUGCCAUCCACAUUAGCCUGAACAUAUAGGUCGCCCAUGUUUACUGAAGUUCUGUCAAUGCUAAAAAAAAUAUGGAGAAACAGUCACCAACGGGACAGCGUAACACAGAAACUACAACUUAUUAAUUACAUCAUUUCUAAAUACAAAAUCUCUAAUGAAUAUAUCAGCAAAACUUUAAGUCAGAAUAGAUUAGUGUUCCGAAAUGAGAGGUGUGUCCAUACACCCCCUGCAAAACAUGAAAAGGGUAUUUGAGUCUUCGCGUUAUAAUGGCCGGAGAUACAUGAGUCGAAACCAACUGGAUGGUGCAGGUACUAGGACACUGCGGCAAGACAGGAGAAGCAGCUGCUUUCUCUUUCAUUGAUUUGUUUUUUGCUUUCCACAUAUGAUUUGUGACUGCAUAAAGGAUCAGAUUGAUUGACCAGGGCAGAUCAUCCCAGAUUUAAUGAGAUCGCGUCCCCCUCUCGAACUGUCGUUAUACCCCAGUCGGUCUCUAGUUUUGGCCACCUAGCGAUCCUCCCUUGUUCUUGAUCUGCAGUGAAUCGUUGUUAUGGAAAACAAUACCACACAUGCCUGACAACGGGCAAUGGUGUGGCUGGCUGGUUCGAACCCAGGACCUCCAGGCCACAAGUGGAGAGACUCUACCACCGCGCCAGGCCCGCCCUUCAUUACUUAUACACAAUUAUUCAUCAAUUACUAAAUGGUUCACCUACUGCAGUAAUUCAUCUUCGUCACAGUAAGUUACAUGUUCAAAAGUAUUUAGAUGAAAAAUGUGAACUUUAUAAAAAGGAACUUACCUCCUAGGAAGUAAGAUAAGAAUAUAAUCAUGGUCGUCCAUUGAUCAACAGCAUGUUAGACAAUGUAAAAGUUACAAGUAUAUUAAUUAGAAGUUCUGAAAAGGAGGAGGAGGAAAUGUGUACUGAUAAUGUUCCCACUAUGAGUUUAGAAAAGAAUUAAACCCAAAGCAGAAACAACGCAGUCAUGAUAUGUUAUUAGCUCCUGCUCUAGUACCGAUUUUUGUUCGCUUGUUAGGUGUAACUUUCCCUCUUCAUCUUUCAUAAUCUAAAAAGCCACCACGUGGCUGCCAUAAAUUCUCUUGCUUGAUGAAAAGAUGUGCGAAGUAUCUACAAAUCUCUAAGAAGUAAAAAAGGAAAGCAUAGGACGGACGAAAAAUAAAAUCAGAGGACAAACAUGUGCCAUUUGAUUCAGUGAAUUAUUUCAUCAAACAAAAUCAGUUCAAUGCAGGUGCCUCUUCAAUCCCUUAUUAUAUUCUAAUGUACCAUUGUGCAGGAAAACAAGCAGUAAUAAUAUCUAUAUUUGGCUUAGAGGUUGAUAAGAACUACUUUCAGUUCAAUGCCAGAACACACCAACUGCAUUCAUUCAAUUAUACUGAAAGUAUCUUAUACAAACCUGCAGCUCCCCUCCUUGCGACCUUCACAGGCAAACAGAGGCCUCGAUCGCCGAACUGCUGGCUUGGCAGGUGACUUAGUAAACCUAAAAUCGUAUAGUAGCAGCGAUUGUUCUUGCAGGAGCAGGACUAGAACAUCGUCACUAUCAUCUCCACAACCGGAUUUUCAUCACCAGCAUCUCAAGGGUUUAUCUGAAAAUAUAUUGGCACAGCAUGUGUCAGCCAAAGAAUGGUGUUCACAUGAGCCUGAACAUUAGGUAUCUCAUUUCUAAUACAAAAUCUUUAAAAUGAACAAAGGCAUCAGCAAAACAGUAGAACUGCGAAAAUAUUAGCUUUCAGAAAUUACAUACUCCCUCCGUCCCGAAUUACUUCCGGGAUAGAGGGAGUAUAUGUUAAGUGCAAUCAAAACAAUAGUAUUCAUCUAAAAAAACUCAAUUGUCACAUGAACAAACCCUGCAAAGCAUCUGUCAUGCUCCAGACAUGCCAAAAGCACAGUGUUUUUCCAUGACAUUACAGGUGUAAGUCUUGUUGAUUCAACUGCAGUACAAGAUUAUGUUACAAGAAGGAAGAAAGUGAAGCUCUGAAUGAUGGAUUCCAUGUUUUCCUACAUUACACUGCAUACAGAAUUUUUUUUUUAAACAAAAUAAUCAUAAAUCUAAUGAGAUUAUCAACAUCUCUUGGAAAAAUCAUACGACAACCAGAAAGUUUACAAAGCUAGUGUGGUCCAGAAUAACACAACAACAAUAUUCUAUUAUCCAACACUACAAAAUGGAGCAUUGGUGAGCCGGUCGAAUUUGAGGAAAACAACCAGGGAAGUUUAAAACAGCUCAAGUGCUCUCCAAAAUAACACAAAACGUCCUCUUAAGCAACAUUACAAAAUGGAGCAUUGGCAAACCAAUUGAAUUUCACAAGGUGUUUUCUGUAGUUUGCUAGGUUAAUUAUGGUCAUUGCUAGUUAUGGAGCCAUUCCUGACAUAAAACAAUCAUAUGCAAUAUCUUGGAGCAGUGACAAACGAUAUUCAAUUAACAAUUCGAAUUUCAGAAAAAGUAUGCUGGUUUUUUUAUAUACGCUUUAUAAUCCUGCUUUACAUCGAGGGACUACAACUAGGAAAACGAUGAAAAAAAACAGGAAAAGGAUUCGCAUUUUGGUGUAUUUCGAGAAAAAAAAAUCUAUGGAGAUUGAGUCCUGUAUAUUCUGUCUCAACUUUGCUAGUUUAGUCUCUCCUCCCCUAAAGAAGCUAGUUUGAUAAAGCUGUCCUCUGGGCAGUAUGUACCCUGUUACGAUCCCCCUGUUACGAUCUAAGGGACUAUAUCACCUCUGUUAGAGGCCAAACAGUAGUUUUCCUGAUCAUGUAUAAUUAACUACAGACAUGGCUAAAAAUAGUAUCAGCUCUAAAUAGGUCCUUGCUUUGCAAUAAUACGCGAGAUUUUCAGUUUCAACUCUGUUCAUAUCAGAUACAUGCAAUUCCAUGACAUUCAGUACAAAUAUAGGUAUGUAUAUGUUUCUGGGUAAACUCAUAACUUCUGGGUAAAAUUGUAACAAUACUCCCCUCUGUUCCAAAAUACUCCCUAUGUAAAGAAAUAUAAGAGCGUUAUAUUUCUUUACGGAGGGAGUAUAAGGCGUAUUAAUUAUUUGAGACGUCAACCUUUUCUAUGUUGGACUAAGUUUAUAGGAAAAAAAAUAAUACACUUCAAUUUUAGAACAGAUUCUGAAAAAAAUAAUAGACCUUGCUUAUAUUUUGAAACAGAGGGGGUACAUCAUACUACUCUUGGUCUGCAGCAUGAUAAUACGGCAUAGAACAUCGUGCCAAAAAGGACUUCCAAAAAAAUAAAAUAGCAGUACAUUCACACCUGGAUUCACAACCAUAUUAGUAGAAGUGCAUGAUCUUUUCCAAGCAUUUGGGUCACAAAACUGACUGGGCUUCAGGGGCACAAUGAGUCCAUUCCUACAUUGCUGUUGAUCAGAAAUGCGUUCAGAGAGAAAUAAAUAUGACCAUUAUUUUGAGUUCUCAUCAUGACAAAACUUAAAACAGAAAAUAUAGCUUAAACAUCAGCAAAUGAAAGACAAAACUCAUGGUGGUAGAUAUAUAUAUUCUAAAGUAUCUAAAGAAACCUGAUCUUUGAGCUAACCAUAAAGUGUAUUACAAAAAGUUUGUUGACUACCGGAAAAAAAAAGAAAUGCCUUACCUGACUUCCAUGCAACCAAAAAUAGGCAAAGCAUGCAGGGUAUAUUCAUACUGUCCUGGCCUUCCAAAUGCAACGGUACGCAACCACAUGGAACAUAUGACCUGACUACAAACCAGCAUGCAGAUUCGUGUGAAGAAAAACGCUUUCCUUCACUAUUUGCAUGAGUUCAGAACAGACACAAUUAAGCAAACAGUUAUAAUGAUCAAUCCAACCAACAGCAAUCUCAUCUGUCACAGGUUGAUCUCCAAUUUCGACUAUCACAGAUUGAUCUGAUAAUAAGCAUGAAGGAAGUAUUAUGCCAAGCUUCUGCUGCAGUCAGAUCAGGUAUUGUUCAGAAGGCCAAAUACCAACAAAAACCAUGUAGAAAAUAGGACAUUGCCAUAAAGGCUAAGCACCAUUUAAAUGAUAAUGAGCACCGAACCAUUCACAAGAACUUGGACAUUGUUUCCAACAUCAAGAGCACUAGCUCAACAAACACUGACAGAGAUCUGCCUUUUCUUAAGCCACUAAUAAUUCUACGAUCCGAAUCCCCCUCCCUCCCCUGAUCACUCGAAUCGCCAAUCAUCUAAAGGCCUAACCCGUGCCGUGGCAAUAAGAUUCAAUUAUUCGGGAGGGGAAGACUGAUACUACAGAGCCCAAUAGGCCCAUCAUCAACACUCUAAGACUAACAAGCCCCUAACCCUAGCCUCCCCUGUGCCA
rnacentral:lncRNA from 1 species